GAGUGGAGAUUGAAGGAGAGGGAAGGAGGUGAGAGGGAAGCGGAGGCGGGUCUGGAGAUGGAGAAAGGAAGGGACUUGGGGGUGAAGGUGGAGAGAGCGAGAGAGGAAGCUGAAGCAGCCAUGGUGAAGAGAUGAGAAGAGAUAAGGUUUGUUUUUAGCUUUAGGGGUUUUUUGAGAGUGGAGAUAAGAUGGUGUGUUUCUGAUAUUUAUGGGCCAAAUGGGAAUAAAUAUCUUUGCACAAAAUAUCUCAUUCUGAUUUUUAUUUACAAAAUUUGCCUCAAAACUUUAUUUUAUUGCUAAAUAUUCUGCUGCUAAUAAAAUUUGUCAAAUUUUGAUGAAUUUAUCUUAACGUCAUCUCUAAAAAAAGUAUGUAUUUAAAAAAAAUAUAGGUUUUCAUAAAUUUGUACACAAUUUUUUUAGAAAAUCUUAAUUUUCAAAAUAUUUUGUAUUUUCUCACUUUAGUGGUGUUAUCUUUAGUGAGAUGACAGAUGAGAUGAGAUCUAAGCCGUAGAGUUUUGGAUGGACAGUGGAGAUGGCACGUCUCAUGCCAAGGCCCCAAAAAUAUAAAAAAUCUAUAAGAUAGGAUAUUUUAACUAAAAGCCAAUGGAAUUAACAACUCUCGUUCCAGCACAGAUCUUUAACUCCAAUAAAUUCAGAAAACAAUACAGUUCCUUUAAAGAAAACCACUGAAUCAUACAAAGGUUGCUCCAUUCAAAACAAGUUAAUAAGAAACUAUUUAUUUGGAUAACAAUAGAAGACUGAAGUUCUUGAACUGCAAAACGCUUUUAGGAUCUCUUCAAUUGGAGGGUCAUCUCCAGCUUCUUUGUCCUGAAACGUUCCAACAAACAAGUUGUUGAGUACGAGAUUGUGAUUAAUUUACCCCUUUGAUUACAUUGACAUGGUGUAAACACAAGUAUUUGAUCAAAACGUGUUACCUGGUCCAUACUCCCCGGUCCGAUCAAAACAUGAGAAACACCAGAUGCAUCCAUCACAUGCUAAGAAAACCUCAAAUGUAUCACUUAAUGAAAUGAUCAAAACCACAUCAAGAUUUUGACAUUGUUGUUUUUACUCCGGGAAAGCCGAAAGAAAUAAGAAAAAUCCUAACUUUAAGUUUUAGUUAGAAAAAAAAAUCAAAUUAAAAAAAUCUCGUGGAGUGGAGUUAUUACACGUUGCAUAGAUGACGUAAGCAUUGUCCGAAACAGAAAAAGUCAAACGCCACGUAAGCUCAGUAAGGGUAAAAAGUUUUGGAAAGGUAGAUCCUUUUCUAAAAGCGAAUGUUCCUUCUUUGCACGUUCAAGCGAUCUCAAGCCGCUCCUCUCUCUCUCUCUCUAUCAUCUCUGAAAUGGCGAGAGUACUGCGUGUGGCGAGAUCCUCCUCCUCCCUCUUCAGCUUCGGAAGCAGAUCUUAUUCAGCCGAAGCUAGCCACGUGUCCUCUCCCCCUCCUCCGUUUCUUGGAGCUCGCAGAGACGUUACCAAGGAGAGAAACGUGCAGUGGGUGUUCCUCGGUUGUCCCGGUGUCGGGAAGGGGACUUACGCCAGCAGACUCUCGAGUCUCCUCGGUGUUCCUCACAUCGCCACCGGAGAUCUCGUCCGUGAUGCGCUAGCUUCUUCCGGACCUCUCUCCCGACAGGUUCUUGUUUCACUUUAUGUCCAAAUGAAUCCCAAAACGACGUCGUUUUCUGUUUAAAUCUGCUAAAAGUUCAUGUGUCUACCAACAGAUCUAAUGAACUAGUGUUUGUUUUGUCCUAACGGAUCUGAUCCUUUUUCUAAUAAUAGUCAACGGCUCUCUCCUCUUGCUUGUAUUGAGAUUCUUAUUACUUGAUUGCAGCUAUCAGAGAUUGUAAACCAGGGGAAGCUUGUUUCUGAUGAGAUCAUAGUGAACUUAUUAUCAAAGAGACUUGAAGCUGGUGAAGCCAAGGGCGAAUCAGGUUUCAUUCUUGAUGGCUUUCCUCGUACCAUGAGACAAGCUGUAAGUUAAUUCAUUGACUUCACAUCAUAUUGAGCAAAGUUUUGAAUGAUUAAUCUUUGUGUUUUCAGGAAAUAUUAGGAGAUGUCACUGACAUCGAUCUAGUGGUGAACUUAAAGCUACCUGAGGAGGUUUUGGUUGACAAAUGCUUAGGGAGGAGAACGUGUAAUCAAUGCGGUAAAGGUUUCAAUAUAGCUCACAUCAACUUAAAGGGUGAGAAUGGGAAACCAGGAAUCAGCAUGGAUCCACUUCUCCCUCCACCUCAGUGUAUGUCAAAGCUCAUCACUCGUGCUGAUGAUACUGAGGAGGUUGUGAAAGCUAGGCUCCGUAUUUACAAUGAAACCGUAAGUCCUCUUUCUCUCUCUCUAUUGUUCUUCCCAUUUUAGCGAUGCUUGAUGCUUUGAAUGAUGUGUGCAGAGCCAGCCUCUUGAAGAGUACUACCGUAUCAAGGGAAAGCUGAUGGAGUUUGACUUACCUGGAGGCAUCCCUGAGUCUUGGCCAAGGCUGUUAGAAGCUUUAAGGCUUGAUGAUUACGAGGAGAAGCAAUCUGCCGCGGCGUAGUUCAACUACAACUCCGGUUUAUAAUUCUUUGCAUGUGGAAGACAUGUGCCUAUAUCAGUUUUGUGUUGGAAAAUAAAGAAAACCUUAGAUUGUUUUUUUUUAUUGCCUCAGAUCAGAAUAAUCAUCAUCAUACACACUUUGCAAACUAUAUGAUGUAUCAUGAUUGUUUAUGAGUUUGCUAGUUACAGGAAUGUAUAAACACUUUGGUACACUUUUGAUUAUUUAUUGUUGAAUGUGAUCAAUGAUUGUUUAUGAGUUUGCUAGUUACAUUACAUGAAUGUAUCAAUACUUACACUGCUUGUUACACAUCAGGUUUGAUGUUUGGGCUCUUGUGAUUAGUUUGUUUAUUGUUGAAUGUGUGUGAUAAUAUUGCGGCUGGCCGAGCUGGCUGGUUAAAGAACACAACCAGACAGUAAAGUAAAACAGUCGCAUACAUUAAAGAUUUUGUGGAACGUAUAACCAGCUCCUGUCUGUCCUAGAAUUGGCGGUUCGGGAUAGAACUGUUCCUUACAUACUGGAACUUCCAGUAGAAUUUGAUGCUAAUUGUUGGUCCUAAACUAGUGUGUAUCAGUUGCUAUGUGAUCUCAUAACUGGACCUUAUCUUAUGGUUUGUGCUUGAGGUUUCUGAGAAAUCGCUGGGUUCAUUUGAUUCUUCUGGUUUGACAAUUAGUUUCUUGUUAUGGACACGGUGAAAUCAGACUCAAAUCGGUGGAAUAAGACAGCCUCAAAGAAGGCAGACAUAAUCAUGUUUGCUCUUGAUUCAUCUUCAAUCUCAACAGGACAUUAAAAUCAAUUUGUAGCUUUAUUUUGUUAGUAUAUAGAUUUGAUGAAAUAAACAACCUUUAAAUUAUAAAUAUAAAGAUGAAAAUAUUCUUAAACAUGAAACCGUUUUGAUCAAGAUUCAAAAAAAACUUCAUUAAAAGAUAGGGACAUCUUCUGAAACAUAUCCAAAAAGCUCUAAUGAAAAACAGCAAGAUAAGGUCUUUGAGAUGUAAUGCAAACUCAAGGCCUAGGAAGAUCCUCCUUAACGGUUGGCCUUCGCAACUCUCUCAAUCUCAUCCUUCUUCUUGAUGGCAUAGCUGCAAAAAAACAAGACAAGAUGCUAUUAGUAUUUAGCAACAAACAAACACAAUUUGUGAACCCGCUUUAAGAGACAAGACAAUGUAAAGAUGUUUACCUGUUGGAAGAUCCCUUGGCAGCAUUGAUGAGCUCAUCAGCAAGGCACUCAGCGAUUGUCUUGAUGUUUCUAAACGCAGCUUCACGUGCACCAGUGGUGAGCAAGAAGAUGGCUUGGUUCACACGUCUUAGAGGAGAGAUAUCAACAGCCUGCCUCCUAACCACACCAGCAGAUCCAAUCCUCGUCGCAUCCUCACGUGGACCACUAGCUCACCAAUAAAACACACACAACAUUAGAAAAAAAGGUUUCUAGUAACACGCAAUAAAGAAUGCAACAUUGUUGUCUUACCUGUUGACAAUGGCAUCAAUGAUAACCUGAAUAGGGUUCAAGUCAGUCAAGAGAUGGAUGAUCUCCAUGGCGUGCUUGAUGAUCCUCACAGCCAUCAGCUUCUUUCCGUUGUUCCUUCCGUGCAUCAUGAGAGAGUUCGUGAGCCUCUCAACGAUUGGGCACUGAGCCUUCCUGAACCUCUUCACAGAGUAUCUUCCAGCAGUGUGGGGGACAAAGGUCGCGUGCUUAGCAGGCUGAACACCAAUGUAGUCAACAAGACUAAUGUCUGUGACCUACCCAUUCACAAAAAAAAAAAACACAAGAUCAACAAAACAAAUACUAAGAACAUAGCCAUUGUUGCCAAUUUAAAUUUUAGAGAUCUAAUAUUCAAAAACAAACCAAACAACACAGAAAGUGUUGGACUUUAAGACAAAGAAACAUCAGGAUCAACCAAGUGUACUGAGACAAUAAAACAUGAAUUGAAAAUUAACAAAAAUAAAAACAAAAAGAGGACAUUUUUUCCGACAUAACUCCAUGAGUUAUAUCUAAUUCAGACAAUGUAACUAUUUUUUUGUAAUAGACCAAUCAUUUCAUUGUAGAAUUAGAUCCUAUAAAGAUUGCAAAUGAGCUAUCGUAAACUUACCGAAACGUCAUCAAAGCUCCAGCGAUUGAAGAGCUUGACCUCGUUGGUAAGCUGCUGCUGAAUCUCAGCGUCAAUCUCAACGGCGGCGGCCAUGGCUGGAAACACCAAACAAAAGCUUAGCCACAAGCACACACGCAAACCAGAGAAUCGAAGAUGAAGAAGAAAUCAAUACCUCAAACUCGUAAGCGUCGUGNNNNNNNNNNNNNNNNNNNNNNNNNNNNNNNNNNNNNNNNNNNNNNNNNNNNNNGCGUCGUGUGGAGAUGAGACGGGACUAGGUUUAGCUGCAGCUACUGCUUGAAGAAGGUGGUGAGAAGAAACAAAAACCCUAAUUUUACUAGAGUAUAGGGUUUUUAAAAUGGAUUUUAUUGGGCCCAAUGGGCUUUUCGUAAGGCCCAGUCCAAGUCGUUAUACCAUAAGUCUUUAGAGCAUACUAGAAAGAGAGCAUUCAAUGCGGGAUGUCGACUUGCUAGCUCUCGUCCAUGCACCGUCCGUCGCCAUCAAUCCGUGAGUUUUUAUCGGUUUUUGUUCAAUGACUCCAACGAACUUUGAAAGAUUUGCCCACUCUUCCUUGCAAAUUAAUCACGAGAUCAUCGCCUUGUACUUGUUACUCCAUUUUGUCGUAUUAUCAUAUUUACUUGUUACUCCAUAUUGUCGUAUUAUCAUAUUUUUAUAAGAUAUUCACUAACAGUAACAGAUAAGUCAUUCUUAUCCUAAAGUCAUUUUAAUUCAGAGACGACAAAAUUUAGGAAAAAUAAAUUCUAGAUGAUUUAUCGAAAAAUAUUUGUGUGUAAUGUUAUAGUCAGUUAACUUAAUUCGUUUGCAAUUUCUAGGAAUAAAAAUAUGACAGUCUAAUUCGUUAAAUUAGUAUACUUUCCCAAAAAGACAAAUAAUACAAGCUGAUCUUGAAGAAUCAAUAAAUUAAUGUGAAAAUGAUAGACAAUGAACGUGAAGAUUGCUUGAGAUAUGAUAAGAUACUUUCAAUGCUCCCGACAAGAAAAGCAUUAAUUUGGACUCGUUGAUGCAUGGGGUAGAUAAGAGUGGACAGGGGAGCUUGCAGAGAUUGGAAACAAGUAUGGGGGAUCGAGUUUCAAGAGCAUCUCCUCAAGAAAUGAACAUGAGGAUGAGAACAUUUCUCGUCGACACACAAACUGCUAAGAUAAACUAUUGUGGUAAGAUAGAAUAUAUGUACCACAUCAAUGUCCUAGCUAAGAAUAGAUACCACAGCAAUGUUCUAGCAAAGCAAUAUUGUCGAAAGUUUGUUCAUCUAUAAUUUUCUUUUCCUUUUAAUUAAUUAAGAUGGGUGCAAUUUUUGCCUAGCAACACUAGAAUAUAGAAUAUGGACCACUUAUGUAAUUUAAGCAUGCAUAAUGGCACACUAUAAGUACUAGCUUUUAAAUAAAUAAAGUGAUCCUUCAAUUAAUUAGGUAUUUCAUAUUCUCAAAGUAAGUUAGGUAAUAAUACUUUAAUUUCCACACUUUCUUGACCCAAUAAAACUCCCCAAUAUAUUAUUUGUAGUCUACUUUUUUUUAUUAAAUUUGUAGAUAUUGUUAGAGGAAUAUAGUAUGUUUUCUUUUGAAUUAUUAUCUCUUUUUAUUUAUUUUUAUUUCAAAUAAUAAGUUUGUUUAUUUUUAAGAAGAAUAUCCUACCUCUAGUCAAUUCAAAUUGUUUGUUUCCGACCAUAUUCCAAUCAUGGUAAAUUACCCAAAAAGAACACAAAAUAAUGACGUUGAGACACUCUCAAAAGUUAGCACGUAACAAUUGUAGUAGUGAAAAGACGUCUAAGCAUAUUAAAUAUAUUUACACUUUGAAGACAAAUGCAUAUCUCAUUAUUGACUAUUCAUCAGAUAAGAAGCCAAGAGAGUACUCACUGAGACAUGAGUGGUGAUGAUUUGAGAAUGGAGCUUGCAGAGAUUGGAAAAAGCAUGGGGUCGAGUUUCAGGAGCAGCUCCUCAAGAAACGAGGAUGAGGCAGAGCAUGCUCUGCAGUGGGCUGAGAUCCAAAGAUUACCUAGUUUCAAACAACUGAGAUCAUCUCUGGUCGAUGAAGAAGGGGAUGAUGUGGAGAAAGGGAAAAGGGUCGUUGAUGUCACCAAGCUUGGAGCCAUGGAACGUCGUCUGAUGAUUGAGAAGCUGAUCAAACACAUUGAGAAUGACAAUCUCAAGCUGCUCAAGAAAAUUAGAAGAAGAAUAGACAGGUAUAUGUGAAAACAAAGAAACAAACCUUGUGAAUCUUGAACUGAGUUGUUACUUUGCAGGGUUGGUGUGGAGCUUCCAAGCAUAGAGGUGAGGUAUAAGCAUCUAAGUGUUGAAGCAGAAUGUGAGGUCGUUGAAGGGAAGGCGCUUCCAACUUUAUGGAAUUCUUUGAAGCACAUUUUCUUAGUGAGUAUACUUGAGAAUAUAAUGCAUUUUGCCAGUAGGUAGUAAAUUGUUGUGAACAAACGCGAAUUAACUUCAAAGAAAACAAAAAAAACUUGAAAAGAACAAAGCACGAUUGAGGCAAAUAUCAUUUUAAAAUUUGUAUAUUGAUUAUGUGAAUAAUUAAAUCUACAACAACUUAGACAGUUGUUAACAUAACUAGUAUUGAACUAUACUUUUUUCUUCUUUAGGAGUUGGUAAAGCUGAGUGGUGUAAGAACACAUGAAGCCAAGAUAAGCAUACUUAACGAUGUUAGCGGCAACAUUAACCCUGGAAGGUAGCUUUUGAUCCAAGCUUUGAGUUAGUGUGUAAUGCACGCAACUAAUGCUCUCUUCUUGUUGCUCCAAGGUUAACACUGCUGCUUGGUCCUCCUGGAUGUGGAAAAACUACUCUGCUCAAGGCUUUGUCCGGAAACUUGGACAAGAAUCUAAAGGUUUUCAGACUUUGUUUCAAUCUGAUUCUCAUGAUGCAGAUGUGUAAACCACAGAACUCUUUUGUUUUCCACAGAUUUCUGGUGAAAUCUCUUACAAUGGACACGGUCUAAACGAGUUUGUUCCUCAGAAGACAUCCGCUUACAUAAGCCAACACGAUCUGCACAUUGCGGAGAUGACUGUUAGGGAGACAAUAGACUUCUCAGCUCGUUGUCAAGGUGUUGGUAGUCGAACAGGUAAGAUGUCUUCUGAAGCAUCCGCUAAACUAUUUGCUGAAACAGAUAUAUCAAUUUUCUCUGUACCAAUGUUCAAAAAGUUGUUUGGCUAUAACUAUGCAUUUUAUAGAGGACUACCGAUUAGAUUGAUUAUUCGGGGCAGUGCUAACGAAAUAUUGAUUUGUUUUAUAUAUUUUUUACAUUUUUAUAUGAUAUUUUUUGGCUUUAAUUAUAAAACUAUUUUGAUGAAUUGUAAAAAUUAAAUAUACAAAAUAAAACAAAUUAGAAAAAUCUGUGGAUUUGCACUAACAUAAUUGGUUAAUUUAGAUUGAUUUAAACCAAUUUUAACUGAUUUAGAACAAUUCAAACCGAUUUGAAUCAUGCUCUAUACUAUUGGCUGAAACAGAUAUUAUGAUGGAGGUCAGUAAAAGAGAAAAGGAUGGUGGAAUCAUUCCUGACCCUGACGUAGAUGCUUACAUGAAGGUCCCAUUCCAUAAGCUAAUCUUUUAAGAGGGAUGAUUAUAAAACCUUUUGUUAAUCCCAUUGUGCAGGCUAUAUCGGUUAAUGGACUUAAAAGAAGUCUACAAACAGAUUACAUCUUGAAGGUAAUUUCUCUGACAACAACUCAGACUUGUAAUCCUUGUUGAUUAGCUUCUUGAUUAUGUCAUGUAUUUGCAAUUUGCAUUUCUUUUUCUUCAGAUCCUAGGGCUUGACAUAUGUGCAGAAACAUUGGUUGGUAAUGCCAUGAAAAGAGGCAUAUCUGGUGGUCAAAAGAAGCGUCUUACUACAGGAGAGAUGAUCGUUGGUCCAACAAAAGCUCUGUUUAUGGAUGAAAUCACAAACGGCUUAGACAGCUCCACAGCGUUUCAGAUAGUUAAGUCACUUCAGCAGCUGGCUCACAUCACCGACGCAACUGUGUUUGUUUCCCUUCUUCAGCCUGCUCCAGAGUCAUAUGAUCUCUUUGACGAUAUUGUCUUGAUGGCUGAAGGAAAAAUAGUUUAUCAUGGUCCAAGAGGCGAGGUCUUGAGGUUCUUUGAAGAGUGUGGGUUUAGAUGCCCAGAGAGGAAAGGUGUUGCAGACUUUCUACAAGAGGUAAGAAGCCAAGUUUAUGUUCCUUGACACUUACGUUUUGUUCUGAGUUGUUUUUGUUUUGCAGGUUAUAUCUAGGAAGGACCAAGGACAGUACUGGCUGCACCAGGACAUACCCUAUACCUUUCUCUCAGUAGACGCGUUGUCCAGGAGAUUCAAGGAGUUAGAGAUUGGGAGAAAGAUUGAGGAUGCUCUCUCUAAGCCCUAUGAUAAUUCAAAAACCCACAAGGAUGCUCUCUCUUUCAGUGACUAUUCUCUUCCAAAGUGGGAGCUGUUCAGAGCAUGCAUCUCAAGAGAGUUUCUAUUAAUGAAGAGAAACUCUUUCGUCUACCUCUUCAAGACGUUUCAGGUUACAUUCUUCGUUCCUUGUGUCUUCUUUCAAUGUUCUAGGGUUAGGUCUAAAGAAACCCUUCUUGCCCUUUAUGUUUUGCAGCUUGUUCUGUCAGCAAUCCUCACUAUGACAGUUUUUAUUAGAACACGUAUGGGUGUAGAUAUCAUUCAUGGAAACUCUUACAUGAGUUGUCUCUUUUUCGCAACCGUUGUGCUUUUGGUGGAUGGUUUGCCAGAGCUGUCUAUGACUGUUCAACGUCUUGCCGUGUUCUACAAGCAAAAGCAACUUUGUUUCUAUCCAGCUUGGGCUUAUGCAAUCCCUGCAACCGUGUUAAAGAUCCCUCUCUCUUUCUUCGAAUCUCUCGUUUGGACUUGCCUUACUUACUACGUCAUUGGAUACACUCCUGAAGUCUCUAGGUAAGAAGAACUCUAUAACCAUCUCUUGCUUGCUCCCUACUCAAACGAUUAUGGAAAGUAAUGGUUACUUGGUGUUUUUAGGUUCUUACGUCAGUUCAUGAUGCUCUUUGCUGUUCACUUCACAUCCAUAUCCAUAUUCCGAUGUAUAGCUGCAAUCUUUCAGACAGGAGUUGCUUCAAUGGCAGCUGGUAGUUUCGCCGUAUUAAUCACCUUUGUGUUCGCCGGUUUCGCCAUCCCAUACAGUAAGACUUUUGCACUCUUUCUUCAUUUCAGUCUUGUUCCAAACUUCCAUCAAAACAUGACCAGGGCCGGAUCUAGGCACAGCCCAAUAAAACAUCGGUCUCGGUCCCUAAAUUUUUUGAAAUUUUUAGUACGAAUAAACCCCUAAACUAUAGAAAAAAAAAAUUGUUUUACUAAGAUUUUUAAAUGUUUCAAGCUCCCAAAAUCUCAUAUCCGGCCCUGAACGUGACAUUGGUUUUGUUGCUGCAGCUGAUAUGCCAGGGUGGCUGAAAUGGGGAUUCUGGGUGAAUCCUAUAGGUUACGCAGAGAUUGGGCUCUCUGUAAACGAGUUUCUUGCUCCGAGAUGGCAGCAAGUAAGUAUCUCAUCUUUUUACAUACUUCUCUUCAUCAUUCUUACAAGACUAAUCAAGUUUUUCUUGUUAUGUUUUGUAGAUGCAACCAACGAAUGUUACAUUGGGGAGAACCAUACUUGAAAGCAGAGGACUGAACUAUGAUGAUUACAUGUACUGGGUCUCAUUAUGUGCCUUGCUGGGACAGACUCUCCUCUUCAAUACUAUUUUCACUCUAGCUUUGAGUUUCUUGAAAUGUAAGUUACAAAAUAUCGAAAAAUAUGCCAUGGACUAAAGCAUAAACUGAAGAGCUUCUUUUUUAACAGCUCCCACUACAUCUCGCGCUAUGAUCUCCAAAGACAAGCUCUCUGAGCUGCAAGGAACAAAAGAUUCAUCACUCAAUAAGAACAAGAAGGCAAUAGAUUACACAGAAGAUUCAGGUGAAACAUAUAUGUCUUUCUUGUCAUACAAGCAAACUCUUUAUUCUCAGUUUAGCUUUAUUGACCUAAUUCAUUCAGCAGGGAAGAUGGCCUUACCUUUUAAGCCUCUCACCAUAACAUUUCAAGAUUUGAACUACUACGUUGACGUUCCUGCGGUAAAAUCUUCUCCUCCCCAUCCUUGGAUCUUAACCAUCUUCAUAUGCAAACAUGAUCAUCAAAGGACGUUUUGACUAAUCUUAGGAGAUGAGAGUUCAAGGAUACAAUGAGAAGAAACUGCAGCUUCUCUCAGAUAUCACCGGAGCUUUCAGACCAGGCGUUCUAACAGCGUUGAUGGGGAUCAGUGGAGCCGGAAAAACAACUCUACUCGACGUUCUCGCCGGAAGAAAAACAAGCGGAUACAUCGAAGGAGAGAUCAGAAUCAACGGAUACUUUAAAGUCCAAAAAACCUUCGCAAGAGUCUCAGGCUACUGCGAGCAAACAGAUAUACACUCACCAAACAUCACCGUCGAGGAGUCUCUAAUCUACUCAGCUUGGCUCCGUCUAGUUCCAGAAAUAGAUCACAAAACCAAAAUAGUAAGCCGGCCCUAGUGAUUCUAAAAAAGGCAAGAAUGACCUAGAAAGUAACUUGACUGAAAAGAAACUCGUUGCAGAGAUUCGUGAAGGAAGUUCUUGAGACGAUAGAGCUGGAGGAGAUCAAGGACGCGAUGGUGGGAGUCCCCGGCCAGAGCGGGCUGUCGACGGAGCAGAGGAAGAGGUUGACGGUGGCGGUGGAGUUGGUGGCGAAUCCUUCGAUCAUAUUCAUGGACGAGCCGACGACGGGGCUGGACGCAAGAGCAGCAGCCAUUGUGAUGAGAGCUGUGAAGAACGUUGCGGAGACUGGACGUACCAUUGUGUGCACUAUUCAUCAGCCUAGUAUCGAUAUUUUUGAAGCCUUCGACGAGGUACAUAUGUUUUUCAAAUAUGAAAAGUAUUUAUAGUGGUUUUGUUUUAAAAGAAUACUCUCACAUGUAUUAUAUUAACAUUUUAUCCAAAAGUAGAUAUAAGAGAUUUUUUUUCUUCAAAAUAGCCUUUAUCAAAAAUUUGAAAAUUAUAGAAUAAUUGAGUUUAGGGUUUAAAAGGGAUGGGUGAGAUUAGGUUUUAUAAAUUAAAGUAACUUAAUUUUUUUUAUUUAAAUGAGUGUGUUUUGAAGAUCUGUUAGUGUUAUAUUUGUGAUAAACUUUAAAAGUGCUAUUUUGGAGUUUUGACUAUUUUGUGGAUAAUUAAGAAGAAAUUUCUUAUAACAUAUUGUUUUUAUUACAUGUUCAGUUGGUACUUCUGAAGAGAGGAGGUCGCAUGAUUUACACUGGACCACUUGGACAACAUUCUUCUCAUGUCAUACAGUAUUUUGAGGUUAGCGUGUUAUACAAGAAAAUGAGCCAGUUUAGUUUCUAUGACUUUUUCAAUGUUUUAACGAAAUAAUUAACUAUGUAUAUUUUUGUUAUUUGGGGUUAAUGAACAGAGUAUCUCUGGAGUUGCUAAGAUUAAAGACAACUACAAUCCAGCAACAUGGAUGCUAGAGGUCACUUCACAGUCUGUAGAGAUUGAACUCAACAUGGAUUUUGCAAAAAUCUACAAAGAAUCUGCUCUCUACAAGUGAGCUGAAUAUCUCAAAAACAACUGAAACCUUGUCAUUUAUUACGAGCUCAUGUGUUUUCUCUGUAGCAGGAGCAACUAUGAGCUUGCUCAGGAGCUGAGCAAACCGGAUCCCGGGUCAAGCGAUUUACAUUUCGAGAGAACUUUUGCGCAGAGCUGGUGGGAACAGUUCAAAUCUUGUCUAUGGAAGAUGAGCUUGUCUUACUGGAGAAGCCCUGCUUACAACUUGAUGCGAAUCUUUCACACUUUAGUCUCUUCUUUGAUCUUUGGUUUACUCUUCUGGAAGCAAGGUCAAAAGAUGUAAGUUAGUUGCAUAAAAUACAUUCAAAUCAUCAUUAGAGCAUGUUCAUUAGUGAGACCCUUAAGUGUCUCUUAAGUGGGGUUUAAUAAUUUUUUAACUAUUAAAUUUAAUAUAAGAGAUUUUGUUAAGAAACACUUAAUUAUAGUGGUUUAUUGGUGGUUUCUUAAUUAAGGUGCUUAACAAAUAAAAAAAUAUUAAACUUUUUUUAAACAUAAAAUUUUAAACAAAGAUUAAUUUUAUUUAUUAAAUAAAACAAAGUCAAACAUAACAUUUUAAACAUAGAUUUUAAAAUAAAAAAAAUUAAAACAUUAAAACAAAGAUUACUAAAAUAAACAAUACUAAUUUUAAAGCGGCAUCCAAGUUCAGUUGUUGUGUUGAUCACGUCCAAAUUUAUGCCAUAUAUGUUCAACCAAAUCACCUUUCAGUUGUUGAUGCGCUUGUCUAUCACGAAUUCUUGUUCGAACACCCAUCUGAUUGGCGAUAUUUGUAGGGAUAUCUGUAGAAUAUGUUAAAUCUACAUAUGAACUUCUGCUGCCUUCGCCUUGUUGGAAUCCCGAGACAUCAAACUAACUGCAUUCAUCCCGUUCGUUUUCUACUAUCAUAUUAUGGAGUAUGAUACAUGCUCUCAUAAUCUUCCCAAUCUUGACUUUAUCCCAACAAAGUGCUGGAUUUUUAACAAUGGCAAAUCGAGCUUGCAAGACUCCGAAAGCACGCUCGACAUCUUUUCGGGCAGCUUCUUGAUGUUGAGCAAAUAAAACUGCUUUCGGCCCUUGUGGAAGUGAAAUAGAUUGGAUGAAAGUUGCCUAUUUCGGAUAAAUUCUAUCGAUCAGAUAGUAAGCCAAAUCAUACUCUUUUCCGUUGACUGAGAAAUUCACUUGCGGGGCUUGACCAUUUAUGAUGUCAUCAAAAACAGGUGAGCGAUCUAGAACAUUAAUAUCAUUUAAGGUACCUGGAGGUCCAAAAAACGUAUGCCAUAUCCAGAGAUCAUAUGAAGCAACCGCCUCUAAAACUAUUGUGGGUUUCCCCGAACCACGAGAAUAUUGCCCUUUCCAAGUGGUGGGACAAUUCUUCCACUCCCAAUGCAUACAAUCGAUGCUUCCUAUCAUCCCGGGAAAUCCACGAACCUCUCCAAUAUAAAGUAGACGUUGAAGGUCAUCCGGUGUUGGUCUUCUUAGGUACUCAUCGCCGAACAAAUUUAUGAUUGCUUCCACAAAAUUUUCCACACAUAACCGAACAGUGGUUGCACCGAGCCUGAGGUAUUCGUCGACCGCAUCAAGCGCAGAACCAUAUGCCAACACACGAAUAGCUGCUGUACACUUUUGAAGCGGGGAGAGACCUUGCCUUCCGGUAACAUCCUUCUUCUGACGAAAGAAUUGGACUUCGUUGGAGAGGCGAUCAACAAUAUACAUGAACAAAGGCUUGUUCAUUCUAAAUCGACGUCGGAAUAGAUUUGCUGGAUAUGUCGGCGCGUCACUGAAAUAAUCAUUCCAUAACCGGAGAUGGCCUUCUUCACGAUUUCUUUCAAUAAAAACUCUCUUUUUCUUUUUCUUCCUUUGAUCUUGUUGAUCACCAUAAACAUUGCACAAAUUCUCAAAUGUUUGUUCGAAAGUCUGAUCAAAAUAUUUAUCGAACAUUUCAUCAAAUGACUCAUCCAAAUCAAAUGACUCAUCCGAGAUGUGAUUUGAAGACGAAGCCAUGAAAGACUUGAUUUCGAAAAUUUAAGAAUGGUGAGUGUGUGAACGUGAGAUGAAAAAGAGAAGGAAGAGAGAACAAAGAGAACCGAGAGAAUGAGAACGUAGAGAAUUGUGAGUAUGAUCAGUUUUUAUUUUACAAAGAGAAUGAAGAACCGAGAGAAGAACAUGAGACUAUAGAGAUAGAGAAUGGUAAGAGAGAAUGGUGAUUUCUUUACGCUCUCAGCACAAACAUUUUAUAACCGUCACCGUUAGAGAGAGAGAGCUCGCCGUUGUCCAUCGUCGACGAGAGAAACCCAUAGAAACGUCGACAAGCUCAACGGAGAGGGAGAGAGAGGAAACGCCGUUUCGUCGACGAGAUCACCGAGACAGAGAGAGAGAGAGAGAGAGGAAUCACCUUUUCGUCGAGGAGAGCACCGACAGAGAGAGAAAGAGCUCGCCGUUGUCCAUCGUCGACGAGAGAAACCAAUAGAGACGUCGACGAGCUCAACGGAGAGGGAGAGAGAGGAAACGCUGUUUCGUCGACGAGAUCACCGAGACAGAGAGGGAGAGAGAGAGGAAUCGCCUUUUCGUCGAGGAGAGCACCGACAGAGAGAGAAAGAGCUCGCCGUUAUCCAUCGUCGACGAGGAAUAUCCAUAGAGACGUCGACGAGCUCAACGGAGAGGGAGAGAGGAAUCGCCGUUGUCGUCACUCUUGCGGAGCAACCGAGAAGAGAAAGGAAAGAGAGAAAGAAACAAGAACGACUUCACCGUUCGGAGAGCCAAUAACGACGUGACACGUCGCCCAAAUUACCGUGUCUUCGAGCACUUAAUUAGGGGACGUCCCUUGGCUUUAUUUCGUGUUUUCCAUUUUUUUUUAUGAUUAAUUAAGUUAAGGGACAUGCUUAAGAGCUGCCUUUGAACAUGCUCUUACAUUCCUAGUAAAGAACUGUCUCACACAUUAGGAAAGUACUAUUUUAUUUCAAAAAUAGCACACAAGAAUAUUUUUUUCCAAAAGAGUAUUAACUAAAAGUAUAUGGGUGUGGAUUUAGUGAUUAUGAUUUAGGGUUUAAUAUUUAGAGAGUGGAGUUAGGGUAAGAGUUUAGGAUACAGAGUAAUUUAGUCAAUUUAAUCUUUAACUAAUUAUAGUUUGAGAAUUUUUCUCUUAUGUUCUAUUUUUGUCAUAAUUGUUUGUAUUUUUUUUUUUUUGGCAGAGAUACUCAACAGAACUUGUUCACAGUUCUUGGAGCCAUCUAUGGCCUUGUGAUAUUCUUGGGGGUAAACAACUGCACUUCAGCUUUACAGUAUUUUGAGACAGAGCGUAACGUUAUGUACCGCGAAAGAUUCGCUGGAAUGUACUCUGCCUUUGCCUUUGCACUGGCUCAGGUUGUGACCGAGAUUCCUUACAUUUUCAUCCAAAGCGCAGAGUUUGUGAUCAUAAUAUAUCCUAUGAUGGGUUUAUACGGAUCUGCCUAUAAAGUCUUUUGGAGUCUCUACUCAAUGUUCUGCAACUUACUCUCCUUCAACUACUUAGCAUUGUUCCUCAUCUCCAUCACUCCAAACUUCAUGCUCGCAGCUAUUCUCCAGUCUCUUUUCUUCGUUGCUUUCAACCUUUUUGCUGGAUUCUUGAUUCCACUACCGGUAAGUUCUUUUUGUAACAAGUCAUUAUAUACCAUUAUCAUCAUCGUUGAUCUUUACCUAUAGUUAAUAGUGUUUUUCCUUGAUGUUGAAACAAUGCAGCAAAUACCAAAGUGGUGGGUGUGGCUUUACUAUCUAACACCUCCCUCUUGGAGUCUCAAUGUGUUUUUCUCGUCUCAGUACGGUGAUAUUCAUCAAGAGAUCAAUGCAUUUGGAGAAACCACGACCGUGGCGAGAUUCUUAGAGGACUAUUUUGGAUUCCAUUAUGAUCGUUUGAUGACUUCAGCCAUUAUUCUCAUAGCGUUUCCAGUUGCAUUGGCUUCUAUGUUUGCUUUCUUUGUUGCCAAACUCAACUUUCAGAAACGAUGAUCCAUCACACACCAACCAAAGGUUUGAAACACCAAAGGGUAGUUUACAAAUUACUGUAUGGACAUGCACGUAUUCGUUGUCACACUAUUUGUAAACACUAAACAAAUGCAAAAUUUAUUUAUAAAAUCAUAAGAAAGUUGGAUAUACUCUAAUGCAUCAAAAUAAAUAGGUCUACAACAUAAUAGUAACUCUCUUAUUUUUUUACCAUAGAGAAAUGAUCUACGGCUGAAUACUUCAAAUAUUAAUUAGUAUACUGCUUCAUGCAAUUGAAAUGAAUAGUAAAGUAUACUGCUUCCUUUAUUCAGGCACAUCAUAAUUUUCAAGAAGAAACGUCAUUUUCUUUCUUUGAUCACAAAAGACACAAGAAGAAAGAGACAUGUGUGUGUCUUGUCGUCCUCCCCAUCUCUACUAACACUUUGAAUUUAAUACUGUCAAACUCAAAGGUCUCCUAAAGCCUAAUUAAUCCCUUUAUGAUCACAUGCCCUUCUCCUUCCUCUCUCUCUCUCCAUUCUCCUAGUACCCAUCAAGAACUUCCACAAAAGUAUUAAACUGUAGCUUCAGGAUCCAACCUCAGAGAAACGGUUCUCAAUCAAGGUUAUUUGAGUAUUGGAUAUUCUUGAUUCUUGAACUCAGGAAAAGUCAUUACUAGCCUGUGAUUCUGCUUCAUGACUUGAGGUUGAAGCAACAACACUUUCUUCACCAGAAGAAACAUCUUUGAUCUUUGAACUUAACUCUUCUUUUUCUUCUUCCACGGAGGCAACAUUUUCAGUUUCUUGAUCAAUGUUUUCUUCCUCAACAAAUCCAUUUCCAUGAGUUUCUUUUUCCUCUCCUUCUUCCUUGGAAGCUGAGGUGGAAACCGAUGAUAAACAAGAAACUUCAGAUGAACUCAACUGCUCUGAUCCUUCAGAACUGCGAGACCCUUUUAUGGAUUCAAGCUUUUUCAUCAGAAACUUUAGUCUCUUCUCUGCUUUCUCCCUUAAUCUGAUCUCUUCUUUCAGAUUUUUCUCCAGCUCUUCCAUCUGUUUCCAAGAGAUUAAAGGUUUUCUUUGAAACAAAAAUCAGCUUAUUACCAAACAAAGAUUAAAAAAAAUAAAAAUAACAGAGCAAAUGAAUUUACAAGUAACAAGAAUGACUCUUUUCUUGGUUGUUGAUUAAACCCAAAUCUUCAAAAAAGUAGUGAGAAAAAGGCAUUUCUUAAACAAGAAUGAUGAUACUAAGGAUUUUAUGAAACUUACCUUUCUGGUAAUGAGGUCUGCUUCAUCUUUUACAGACCUUGAAACUUGCCUCUCUGCAAGCAGUCUCCCUCUUAGACACUCCACAGUUCUCAGAUUUCCCUUCUCUUCUCCUUCCUCCAUCUUCUUACUUGCAAAAUUUGUUCUUAAACAAAAAAAAAGAAGAUAAAAAUCAAUUCCUCAUAUACACUCUCUACAUAGAACUUUCUUAAAAUCACACAAUACGACAUAUACAUGUAUAUAAAGAGAAAGAGAAACCUGCAUUUCGUGUUGUAAUUGAAGGGAUCAAUUGUCAUACUGUUCUUUAUAUAUUCAAAAACCAGAACCAGAUUGGUAAAAGCUUGUAAAGCUCAACUUCUCACCUAACUGCAAAAAGGGUAAACUAAAAAUAAUAAGACAGUUAAGACCAAUGUGUUGUUAGAUUGAUGUCACUAUGAUUUACAUUUAUUGUUCAUUCAGUAAGAGGAACAUAUCAACAUCAUAUCUUAAAAACCAACUUACCACGACACAGUCGACACUCUUCUUUAACAAAAAAAAAAAAAAAAUCUCAAGUUCAAAUAGUAAAACAGAUCCAGUUUCAAAUUCAAACCCCCUCACUUGGUAGAGAAGAGUGAAAUGAACUUAAAACCACAAAAGUUUUGAAGUUCUCCUGAAAAGAAGAACAGAAUCUGUGGUGUAGGGACAUGUUGUAAGCAAAACGACAGUGUGGGAUUGGACUUUUGUUACCUUCUCGUGAGUUGGUUGGUAACUCUCCCACUUCAAGACCUUUUUUAUGGUUAAUAAAUUUAACUUCUUACUACAAGGUUAGUUUUAUAUUAUAUGAUACCGCAAAUAUGCAUGUGAACAAGAGGAGUCAUCCUAUUUGUUAAUAUUAAACCAUAUUGCUAUACAAUUUUAGUUUUACCAAGUGUCACAGAUCCCUUCGUCAACAAUAUCACAACAAUACAAAAACAACAUUUCUUGGCCACACAGAAAGUUAAUGCUCCCAAGUCCCAACCUCUCGCUAUAAUUUUACUAAAUAGUUUGUGUUAAUUUUCUUUUUCAAAUUAGAUAAUUAGUUACCAACACGCAAAGAAAACAUUCGAGUGAUUAAGAGCUCACUUGUACUUCACUCAAAGAUCAAAGUAAUUACCAUAACCCUUUUAAUCAAACUAUACUUAUUUUGUGAAGCAACCUAAUGAAUAUAUUCUUGUUCUUAUUAGGAACCCCGCCACUUCAAUCCAAGCCACUUAGUAACUCUCAAGUUAUAGCGAGCUUGGGUAUGAUCUUACCGAUCAUUCAAAGUUAUGUUCACUGACAACAAUAAAAACUACAUAUCAUGAAAAGCAAAAUCAUUACACAUAAACUCUUUUAGAAGCCCCACAAGAAACCCUUUUGAACUCAUUCGACUUCACGGCAAGAAAAUCAAAAAGCUUCAUCAAGCUCUUGUUUCAUGAUACACUCCUUGUCACUCAUCGACUCAACCACACCCUCUAUCAUCUCAUACAUCUCGUUGCUUCUCUCACACGAACCAUCUUUCGCAAUGAAACUUCGUAAUCCUUUACCAGUAUCGAUCCAGCUAGUUCCAGGGAUUUUCUUCAAUCCGAUUUUUUUCAUCUUAUCCCUUACCAUCUCAGCUUCUUCCCAUCUCCCUGCUUGAGUGCAUAGAUUCGCCAUGAUAGUGUAACUCCCUGUAUUUUCUGGUUACAAAAAUAGUAAUACUUAUAUAUAAAAAUUAAUUUUAUUUAAUAUAUUUUCAUUUUUAUAAUAGUAUAUAUAAAUUUNNNNNNNNNNNNNNNNNNNNNNNNNNNNNNNNNNNNNNNNNNNNNNNNNNNNNNNNNNNNNNNNNNNNNNNNNNNNNNNNNNNNNNNNNNNNNNNNNNNNUAUCAUUUUCGUUAAUGUAAUAGGAGGGCCAACCCAAACAGAGAUUGUCAUGAGCGAGAUAGACACACCAGAGAGCUUUCAGCUUAUGGAGUUUGGAGUUAUUUUCGAGGCGACGAAUCACUUUUCCGAAAGCAACAAAGUCGGACAAGGUGGUUUUGGUCCAGUUUACAAGGUAUUUUAAUUUCUCUAGCUAUUUGGACCGAAUCAAAUUAAACUUGAAUCGGCCGGUGACUUGUCUUUCAUUCAACUAAAAAACUAAUAAUAAUAAGGGAAAAUGUGAUGGUAUUGCAGGGAACCUUGCCUGAUGGAAACGAGAUCGCAGUAAAAAGAUUGAAAGCGAGAUCAUCUCAGGGGAUGGCAGAGUUCCGAAAUGAAGUGACUCUGAUUUUACGUGUACUACACGUGAACCUCGUCCGACUUCUAGGCUGUUGCAUCCAUGGAUACGAUAGACUAUUGGUCUACGAGUUCCUGGAGAAUUCUAGCCUCAGCAGCUAUAUCUUCAGUUACUCUCACUCUCUCUCUCUCUAUUCUAGAAUUUACUUGUUAUUUUGUAAACUUUAAACUUGAUUCGUUUUGUUUUUGAUUGAUUACCUCAGAUCAAACUAGAAGCCCGCUCCUAAACUGGGAGCAUAGGUUCGAUAUAAUGAAAGGUAUUGCUGAAGGAUUGUGCUACCUCCACAACUUCACAAGCCCACCGAUACUUCACCGCGACCUGAAACCAAGUAAUGUGCUUCUAGGCAGAGACAUGAUCCCAAAAAUCUCAGAUUUUGGGCUGGCUCAGAUGAUGGAAACUGGCACCACAGAAGCUGCAAUGGAAACAGCAGUAGGAACUUAGUAAGCAUCAACAAAUUGUUAAAACUUUCUUCUUCUUCUUUUUUUUUUUUUCACUAAAACAAAAUCACAAUCAAUUAAUUAAAUCCUCUUUUGUUUGUUUUUUGUGCAGCGGCUACAUGUCUGAAGAAUAUGCGAAAGAUAAUAUCAUGUCCCAGAAAUCAGAUGUCUUCAGUUAUGGAGUAGUGUUGUUAGAGAUUCUUACUGGAAGGAGAAAUCAUGAGUAUUGUAUUGCAAAUCCAGGAGAUAGUCUUCUCGACUUCGUAAGUUUAAUUUUUCUUUGUAUUCUUAAAAUUUUAAAGAAAAUUUAUAUUUUAGAGUUUUUUAAAAAGGUUUGGAGGCGAUGGAAGGAUGGUACUGGAUUGGAGGUCGUGGAUUCGAGCUUCCAUGAUGAUUCAUUUAUAGAAGACCAGGUUUUACGAUCAAUGAAGAUUGGUCUAUCCUGUGUUCAACAAAAUAUGCACGAUAGGCCUAGUACAAGGACCAUUGUGGUUAUGUUUGAAAAUGGCCCACGAUCAGAAAUUCUAGAUCCGACGAGACCAAACUAUAAUCUCACAAGAGCUGAUUCAUCUUCUUCUCCAGUUACCGUUACCGACCAAUCAGUCACUAUUAACGAGGCCACUUUGUCAUGCACUGACGCCAGGUGAUGUUUUUAUGUAGUGCGUUUUUCUACUAGUUUACUUAAAAAAAAAAAAAUUUGAACUAUCAUUCCUAUGUUAUGUUUAAUUUCAUGUGUUUUUUCUUCUAGUUUACUCUUUGAAAAAAUAACUACUAUUAUUCAUAUGUAAUGUUUUUAGUUGUUUGGGUCUCAGUGCGGGAGACUGAUACUUUAAUGGUUUAUCUCUUUUGCUAUGCACUUAAUGACAACGAACAUAAUAUCUCGAUAUAAUAAUUAACAACUAGGAUGAGACAAAACCAAAACCAAAACCAAAGGCAACAAGUUACAAGACAAACUGUUCAAAGUCAAUCUAAUCACAAAGAUAAACCCAGUUACAUAAUAUCCCACCUAUUUUUGUUUUUUAGCUGGUGUUUGAUCGAUGUUCUUCACCUGCAAGCAAAAAUGUGGCUUUAGCUGCUUCCUCUUUUGGUGUCUGAAAUGCUUUAAGAACAGAGAGAGAGAGAGGGAGAGCAAAAUUGUUUUACUGGGCCGCAUUCUAAAUAGUACGGCUUUGGUAAUUAUGUAAACAUAUCUUAUACCGAGACAAAUAAGAAUUAAAUUAAGUUAUCCUAUCAAUUAAUUUCAAAACCUCCACUUAGUCUAAUGAUUAACGGAAUCAUUUGGUUAGAAUAAUUAUUUAGCCAUAAACACCAAAAUCACAUGGAACAUAAGCUCAAUUACCUGUUUGGUGCCUUCAACAGAAGAAGUACGACCCCAUCUCUCAGGGGUCCCAAAGUAUGCUACUGUUGAAAGCAAAGCUUGAUAUAUGAACCGGAGGCUUUAUCUCUGUCUUGUUAUUAAUUUUUCUCAAAUGCCACCCCAAAACUUGUGAAGAUUCACAAACCGGCCUCUCUACUAUCACUCGCUUCCUAUUAGCUGAUACCAAUAUGUAUACAUUGUUUAGCCCCGCAAAAUGGACUAUCCCGCUUUGUUUGUGAUGCUCAAUGUGUCUCAACGCUAGGUUCCUUUGAUGAUCAAGCUCAAAUUCAAAGCUCGUGAAGUUUUCUUUGAAGACUAUACGUCUAUACAUUAAACCAGUUUUUCUUAACAUUGUUGGUGAAGAGUUUUCUUCAGCAUCGGAGUGUUUCUCCACGACUAUCCACAAUAAAGGAGGUGGAACUAGCCUCAAAGUAUUGGCCAUUCUCCUAAGGAGCACAAUUUUGUAACGAUCUUUCGUCAUUACCCAGAGUUACAACAAUCACUAGACCUCUUGGUGCAACUUCUUCUUCUUCUGUCUUGGAGAGUGAUCUGGUUUCUUGUUCAGGUUCUUGUGACUUCAAAGGUGCUGGGGCCUGACCUUGGGAACUGUUCAAUGCUUUAUCAACGAGAGGAUUGUGUGUAUAGGUAGAGUUCUCAAAAGGUUGGGAAGGAAUCUGAGAUUUAGUGGUAGUAGAGGGGGUGGUUUCGAAAUUAUAGAAAAGUGAAGCCUUACCAGCAGGAGCAAAGCCAGUGAUGAAACACAUUACAAAACAUAGAGAGAAAUGGAUCACAGCUUUCUUCCAUACCUGAGUUUUCUUCUUUGAUCUCUCCAGAGAUCCCAUCAGGAUCCAACCCUAAGAAGAAGUUUUUCUUAAUUAAGUGAUUUUCCUUUUAUUUUUUGGGAAGAACAAUCUAGUUUGAAGAGUAUGAAAUAUAAGGGCUUUUAUGACAUUUGUAUAGUUUUUGUCUUUAUAUUGUUGGUAAAUGAUUAAAACCGGCGAGCUACGUAGGAGUACGUUCUCUUUGAUUGAUUGCGUGUGUUGGUUGUGUUCUGCAACAACUUGUUGGGAUCAUUGGAACUCACUAGCUAGCUGAAACAUGUUUGGGAAAUAUAAGAAAAUUACUGUUAAUAUAGCAAAUAUAUUAAAAUUAAACUUUGCUUAUUAAUGACUCUUAAUGCAAGUAAUUAAGUAUUAUUUUAGUUGUUGUUGAUGACUGAUGAGUAAGGUUAUGAUCAAGAUAGGAACUUUUGAGAGUACCUAAUAUAGAGGAUAGUAGUCUUCAAAAAGUGUGAAGUGAUGAAACUUGAAGUUGAAAGAGACAAUCCAAAAAAUAAAUAUUAACAUGUCAUCGUGGUUUAUAUUAUGCACUUUAACAAAUGGAUAUCAUUUUUACCGUUAUAUCAAGCCAUGUAAAUACAUACCACCACAAACAAGUCGUUUUCUCAAGAAAGUUAGAAAAGAGAUCAAGCUGGACGAGGAGUGAGCCUAUCUUUGGCCGCCGUGUCUCCACGGUGGAGGCCAGAGGAGAUACGCAAGCAAGAAGAAGCCCCCCGAGAAACGCUCUGUUACUAACUCGGUGUUCUUGGAGCAAGAACAAGAAGAGACAAAGGAACCUCAUGAUGAUGACGUCAUUGUCGGAGAACCCAAGGUUGUGCAUUUAAUAUUCAGUUCAUUUAAUACAUCAGUCAAGUCACAUUUCCAAGAAAAUACUCCACUAACGAAGGCGUCUUUGUCUAUUUUUAAUUCGUUCCUUAACGCGUACGGAACGCGGCCCAAUAAAAUAAUUACUUUAAUUCUAUUUUAAGUCUCUGCUUCUCUACCUUCUUUCCUCUUUGUAAGAUCAGAGAGAGAGCGUUUGUUGAGAAGAUCUUAUUAGAAGGUGAAUAUCAAUCAGAACAUGGCGAAAGAAGACAACCACGAAGCUCAACGAUGCGAGUGCGAGGAUCAUGAGGAAUCGAGUCCUCUCUUGCAAGUUAACGAAAGCAAGAUCUGCUCAAAAGGGGACACCACCAAGACGGCGGAGGAAUAUGGCUGGACGGCGGAUGGAUUGCCGGUGAGCCAAGGGAGCGUGAUCGGCGAGCCGAUCGGGAGAAACCAAUGGAGUUCCGGUCUUUUUUCCUGUCUCGGCCGAAACGACGAGUUCUGCAGCAGCGAUCUCGAAGUUUGUGAGUCUUUAUGUUCUGUCUCAAUGAUUAGUGUCUGAAAUUUGGGAUUUUUUUGUUAAUGGGUUUCUUGAUUUGGUGGAGGAUGAAUUGUAAAGUUUUGAUUUUGAUGUGUUUUUCACUGUUGGUGAGUCUUGCUUGUGUUCUGUCUGACUGUCUCAAUGGUUAUUGUCGGAAAUUUUGGUUUUUUUUUUAUUUGGUAGAGAUUGAAUUGGAAAGUUUUGAUUUUGAUGUGUUUCACGGUUGGUGAGUCUUGUGUUCUGUCUCAAAUGAUUAUUGUCGGAAAUUUGAGGUAUUCCCUAAUGGGUUUCUUGAUUUGGUGGAGAUUGUAUUAGAAAGUUUUGAUUUUGAUGUGGUUCAUGGUUGGUGAAAAGACUCAAAUCUUUUACAUCUUAAUGGCUUCUUCUUUGUUAGGUCUCCUUGGAAGUGUGGCUCCAUGUGUGCUGUAUGGAAGCAAUGCAGAGAGGCUUGGGUCUGCUCCUGGAACGUUUUCGAAUCACUGCUUGACGUAUUUGGGGUUGUACUUUGUCGGCAACUCUCUAUUUGGAUGGAACUGCCUUGCUCCAUGGUUCUCUUAUUCUAGCCGCUCUGCCAUUCGCCGAAGGUUUAACCUUGAGGUAAUGAUCAAAUUAUCUGGUAUUUAAUCCGGAAAAAAACUGAAAAAUCUGUUUUUAUAUCUGAAUUAUCUGAAAUUAUCUGAGAAAAAGGAACCGAACCGAAAUUUUGUAUUAGUCAGUUUUUAACAUUGUUGCCCGAACCAAAAACGGAAAUAACCAAAACCGAACCAAAUUUCAAAUAAUCAAACGGUUCCUAUAUCUCUAGAACCGAAAAUCGAAAAAAAAAAAGAACUGGAAGUGAACGCCAAGCCUAGUUGUACUCUAAGAAAAGAGUCAAUCAACUCCUCUCUUUAUAUAUCUUCUUGGUUGUGUACCACUCUCUGAGUUUUAUAGGAGCCAUGGAGAGACAAGUCUUGUCUCAUAGGCACUCUAGUGUCUCUAGUUUUGGGCAUGUGUAUUACGAGAGUCUCCGUUGCAUUCCAUCUCGUGACCCUAUCUUUUGUUUUCUUUUGGUGUAAAAAACAGGGAAGCUUUGAGGCGAUGAACAGGUCGUGUGGUUGCUGCGGUAGCUGCAUAGAGGAUGAGAUGCAAAGGGAACAUAUGGAGACGACUUGUGACUUUGUGACGCAUGUCCUUUGCCAUACAUGUGCACUUUGCCAAGAAGGCCGUGAGAUCCGCAGGAAGGUUCUUCACCCGGGUUUCAAUGCUCAGUCCACUGUGGUUGUGCUUCCACCAAGUGAACAAACCAUGGGACGUAAGUAAGUGAAAAGCUUGCGUUGAGUCAUGUGUCCUAAAUAACAUUUGUAAUACACAAGGUGAACUAUGACGUUGUCUCUUGCUUGCUUUUGUCGCGUGUUCUUUUCUUUUUUUUGGUCUUUCUUCAGUGCAUGCAAAUGUAUGUAUAUCUUUAUUGUUACGUACUUGGUUUUGGAUAUGGUCUUGUAAUAUUCAAUAAAGUUUCGCAACUUGUAACUCUAUAAACGUGGAGGCAUUCCUUUCCGGCGGAACCUUCAUUGCUCAUAGCUCCAAACCAAAGUCUGUGAGAUCAGAUGUGGUAAAGAACGGUUCGGAGAUUCUAAUGAAAUGAAAGAUCUGUUUUUGGACCGGAGAGAUCAAGACAAAAGUGAUUGAUUGCAUUUAAUUUAUAAGACUUUUUAUAUCGCAACUUUGCGAGUCUUUAAUUGUUGCACUAGAGAUCCAUUGUAAUCAUUGUGGUUAAUUUGACUCCUUGAGUUUAUUAGUGUGCAUGUGAUAUGAUUUCUUUAGAUUUGGUUUUAAUAUACAUUUUGUGAUAAAAGGGUCAAGAUCUAUAGCUUAAUACUAUAAUUAAUGUUAAUUAGUACAUUUGACAUUUUCUUAUAGAAAUGAUUAAAUAGGUCUAUUGAUUAGACGCCAAACAAGACUGGCCAAAUUAAUCGCUGAUAAUUCAAAAGAAACCAGACGAAUUAUCAAAAGAUCUUCUAAUAAUGAAAUGAUUUGUACAAAGAGUCAAAAGGAGACACAUGGAGAAGUGCCCAACUCGUCUGGCAUGGCACCUCACUACUAAGCAAUCACGAUUUGGCUUGUGGAGUCAACGAGCUUAUGACAUUAGCUAGUUAAUUUCCCCCAAGUUGACAUCUACUUUUUAAACACAAUUUAUUUAUUACUUAUUAUACAAUUGUAGAUCUCAUCAUAUAUUUUUGAUAUGCGAUUUCUAGUAGUUUAUUGUAGACGACUGUUCUUUGUUUUCUCUUACUCUCUAAUCUGAAUCUCAUUGCAUGGUCGGCAACAUUUUUUACUUGGAACAUUUUACCAUCAAUAAUCGAAUUUUGAUAUCAUGUUAAUAAGUUCUAAAAACUUUAAUGUAUAACUUAACUUAUGUCCCUUAUACAUUACCUGUUAUUCCAUCACAUUUUGAUUUUGAAUUUGUAAGAAGUUUAUAUUUGUGUAUCAUAUAAGUUUAUGGUCUUGAAUCUAAUAGUUUUUGGUACUGUUAGUUCUAAAAUCAUUGACGAAUAUACCAAAAAAUGUGACAAGAGAUAUAUAAAAGUCCCAUCAAAUAAAUUUGGAUUGGUAGUUGUUUCGAAGUCACUCCCUAAUGUACCAAGAACAUAUCUUAAUCCAUCCCAGUUUUUGUAUCUCUUCUUAUUGACUCCAAACCAUUAACACACACACACACAUACAUACAUAUGAUAUAUGAUAUAUAUGGUUAUUAUCUUUCAUAGCAAACAUAAUCAGUUAGUUCACAUAACGACAAUCCUUCCUAAUCUCUCCUUGGUCACCGGUGAGAGGAUUGGUCUCGGACAAGAGCCUGAUAGCGCGUGAAAAUUGCUCAUGGAAGUAACCAUUGUCCGCAGCCAUCUUCGCCACAAAGGGUGCGGUCCUCGGAUCCGUGGCUAUCUCAUCAUCGAUGACAAGGAGUCCUUUAUGAGCCAUGAUGUUUUUGUAAUACAUAUUGUCCACAACCAUCGGUGUCUCAGGGUCGUUGCGGGAGUAUAAGACCUCUUUUGGGUUCGGAUUUGGAGUAGGGCAACGUUUUUUCAAGUAAAGGGCGUACGUAGGGUCGAGAGUCGGGUCAAUCGUUGGGUAUAGCCGGUGCACUAGGUUAACGCAGUGGACUCUACCCACUGAGUGUGCACCUACGGUAAUAAAAAUUGACCGAUCAAUAACAAUGACAGUUAUAUAUCUUUAUUAUCUUAACUAGUAAAUAAACUUUCCAAAAAAAAAUAUCAUAUGUAUUAUUUAAGUAUAUGGUUGAUAAAACUAUUUUAUUUUGAUUUUAUCAGAAAAUGAACCAAAAAUACCCAAAUUAUCUUCUAUUGAACCACCGGACCGUAUAAAAUUUGGUUUAAUUAACGGUGUAAAACGCACAUCUAUCCUAAAAUCUUGAACAAAUUCAAAAACCAAAAUGUCCAUCCUGGUUAGUGUUACCGUGCUGGCUCAAAUCUAUUGACCUAUGCAUUUAAAAGAUAGUUUCUACUCAGAUUUAUAACUCAGGUACCUAAGAGAGCAACGGUGGCUUCAACAUCGAUGCCGAUGGAGUUAAAGUUUGAGAGAACAGACGAGAGAGAGUCAUUGUGGUUAGGAACUAGAGCCUCAACAUCUCUCAAGUAGCUCCCUCUACUGUCUCUCCUUCCUGUCUUUAUCAUAUCUAUCUUUGGCCCUUUCAACUAUUCAUUUCACCAACCAAAAAAAAAACAUCUUAAUAAAAAUAUAAUUCCAAACUAAUUAAAUUAACCUUACAAUGCAUAUACUUACCAUGACAAUACCAUCUCUAGCAGAGAGAGCAACAAUAUCAGCGCAAGAGACUGUUCCAGGACAUUCUUUCUCGAGUGCAUCUUUGAUAGUCUUGAUAUACUUAAAGUUUCUCAUACCAAAACUCCUUGUUGACUUUUGCUCUGAUUCCACACCUCUUGCUGUCUCUAGUAGCAGUGACGCAUCACACGACUACAAAAAAAAAUACCCAUGAACAUAAAUAUUCACGAUGACUUUUUGGUAAUCAUGUUUUUAAAAAUAUUCACGAUGAUGAUGAUGCCAUGUGAUUAUAGAGUAAAUGUAAUUACCUUGACGACGCAGUCAUGGAAGAGAUUACGGAGCCAAGAUACGGCUGUGUUGCCGUGUUUGUAGUACAGCGUCUCCACUUGUUGUCUGAUUAUCUCUUCCGCUCUCGGACAACUCUCUCUGUAAUAAUUCAUCUUCAGUUCCGCAUUUCCUACAGUUUAGUUAAUCUUUAGAUUCGAUUUAAAAAAAAGUUAAUCUUUAGAUUAUUCGCUUUAUUUACGUAUGAGUGAUUACUAGCCAUUUUAUAAUAUAAUAUUUGUUGAAUUUUUACGGUGGAAAUUAGUUUACUAAAAAAAACCGUAGUUAUUUUGGUUUCAGCUAGCAAAAAUUAGAAAUAUAUUCUCGAGACAUGGAUACACGUGGCAUAAUGUGAUAAGAGAAAAGGGAAUAUAAAUUACCGAUAUGAAAGAUGGAAAAUAACUGUAAUAACAGGCAAAAGAAAGCCAAAAAGCAGAAGGGCAUCUUCACAAUGGCCAUCUUUUUCUCUCCUAUCUUUUUGUACUUUGUUGAUUGGUGUGUCUCUUUAUGUGUCCAAUGUAGGGUUAUAUAGAGAUUCAAGAGACUUGAGAAACUCUCUUUAAUCGUGUAAUAUAUAAUUAAGUAUUUUUAUUUCUUAUAGUCAUAGUGGUUGCCCAUGUUAAUUAUUCUUUUUUGAAAUUAUCAGGGGAUUUCUUAUUCUAGACGAAUAUUAAUAUUGAAGCUUGUAACCACUAGCUAUAUAUCUGAACUCAAUAGUUGUUGAACAUGUGAAUUCAGUGAGACGAGUUUUCCUAUUCUAUCCGAUGAUAAUACAAAAUUAAAUUAGUUCGGCUUUUCACUUCUUUUCACUUUUAAUUAGCCUUCCUCAUACAUGUUUCAUGUUCACAAGAUACAAAAGGAGGAGAUCUGUAAUAUAAAUUACGCUCUAACUUGUAACUAAUUGAUUGGAUUGGAUUCGAAUAAAUAAAAUCAAAAUGUAAAUGCUUGCGAUGAAUAUGUAUAUUACACAUCAACUUCAAGAUGACCGACUCAAUUAACUCCCAAUCAUGCUAAUCUAUAGGUAUUCAAUAUAUAGCAUACAAUAUUAAAUACGGUUUCACUUAUAUGAGUUCAUUCACUAAUAUAUGAGUAAAUUAUUAUUACCCGACUGCUGCAUAAAUUUUAUACCACCGAUUUAGUUUAUAGAUUCUAACAGACUUACUGACAUGUUAUAUUAUUCCAUUUGAAAUAUCGUUACCAGUCUGGAUUCUUUGGCUGACUUAAAAAAAAUAUUUUGCUUCAAUUGUGUAACAAAUGUAGAAGGAUAUUAUAGACUAGUCAUAAAUAUGUAUAUAUGCAUGGCCCAUUGUUAUACAUUUUGGGAAAAUUAUUGAAUAUAUAUUAUAUAAAAUCAUCUGAUGGUAGCCACAAUUUUUUUGUUUAAAUUAUCUGUAACAUGAUUACCGUCUAUAGCGGGUUUGCGUCAUUUCGGACAUGCGCUUGAUGCAAAAUCAAUACGACUGUGGAUGUUAAAAUGGAUAUAUUGACUUCACUAAAUGUUAAUAUCAUCAUCAGCCACUUUAUCCUUCGGCCACUUAGUCACUUGUGAUAUUUUUAACACAACACAUUGGGUGAAUUCGUAUUAUACGCAUUUAAUGUGGCACCAAGAGUUAAUUCAGACCCAUUCAUAGCUAAGCAGUUUAUAAUAGGUUGCCGCUAUUUCAACGUAUCAUUCAUCAAAAUUUGAUGUAUCUAUUUUAGUAGAAAACGAAAGAUGUUUCAUUUUAUUUGGUGUAAUAAAUCUUUAAUGCUCUUGAAUACUGCUUAAUACCGUCAGAACUCAGAACAUUAACUUUAGUUUUAAAUUAUAAUGCAAUUACUAAAACACUGCAAAUUUAUUUCAUUAUACAAUAUACAAAAAAUGAUCAUGUAUACUCUCUCUCUUUUCACAAUGAUAAAUUCCCAUUUUUGUUUUUAAAGAAUUUUAAGGUUUUAAUACAUAUUCCCUCAGUUUCGUAAAGAAUACCACUUUGACAUUUUCACACAAAUUAAAAAAAUGAUUAAAAUACAUUAAAGUUCUUAUUAGUUACACUUAAUAUGAAACAGAAAGAGUAUUUAUUAGUACUUGUUACAAAUUGCAUAUAUCAAAAUAUUUAUUAAUAAUAAAUACAUUUUUAUUUUUAUUAGUUUAAAUUUAUGUAAAAUUGUAAAAAAUUUAUAAUUGAUCACUAAACAUUAAUUAAUAUGUGUAAGAAAUGAAAAUUUAAAAAAAAUGUGAAACAGAAAGACUAUCACAUAAUUUAAUAAAUGUAAAAACUACAAGAAUUUAAGUUAAUAAUAUAUUUACGUCAAUAAUACUUAUGUUUCGGGUUGAUAUCUUAAUUCGUUUUGUAAUAAUAGCACUUUUAAAUCAAUUUGGUUAUAGAUUUUAAAAUAAAUUAUACUCAUACUUGGAAGCAAAUUAAAAAAAGGUUAUAAGAUUGCUUGGUGUAUGAAUAAUUGAAAACCAUUUUUUGUUUUUGACAACAAUUGAAAGCCAUUAAGUUUGACCUUUUUAGGCACUUGCUUAAUCGCACGCGCAUUUGAAAACCACCAAAUAAAAUCAACCCCACUUUCUUAAUAUUAUUGUGACUGAUGACGGCUGUAACAUUCUGGUCUUGACCGUCCAGUCCAUUCACUUGAACACGCACAUAAUGCUUUGUUGCCGAUUCACUUAUUUUCAUUAAAACUCAUCAUAUAAAUGAUUUCCCCUCCUUUUUCCUUUACAUCUAAAAGUCUAUGUAGUUUUUCUAGAUGCUUAUGAGUUACGCAAAACGAUCCUCUCCCACACAAAAAAACAAUAAUAUUAAUAUAUGUUUUAAUGUCCAAGUGUUUGAUUAGUGCUGCAGUUUGUAAAUAUGUAAUAAAACUAAUCAGCUUAAUUUUCUGUUUAAACAAGAAGUUUUGUAUAGAAAGACGACUUGGAUUAUAUUUUUGUAAGAAUUCUGAAUUCCUGUCGUUUCAUUCCAUAACAAUAUGUGUUAAUAUGUUCGUGUAUUAUUGACUUGUUGCUUUAUAGUUAUUUAUUUAUUCCCAAGUCAGAUUAUAUUCGUUCGGAAAAUGAACGUGACUCGUAUAUGAGUUGACCUUAUGAAUAUUGUCUAAGGCCUUAUCCAUUAGAUUAAAAGUUCAUUAUACACUUAUUAUUUGUAUUUAGUUUGAUUAUCUCCAAGGCUACAUUAUGAGCUGUUAGCUAGUAUCCUAAGUUAUGAAUAGCUCCAGAAAGGCCUUAUCCUAAGCUAUAUGAACAUUGUGAGCUAAGCUGAACACUUGCUUAGAUGUAACUUGAUCUUGUAUGUUUUCUCUAAAAGACCAAUAGCCAUCUUGUAUGCUUAGUUGAAUUUGUAUUAGGAUCUCUUAGUUGUAAGAGAUCAUAUGUUCAUCAAAUGGUUCUAUCACUACCAUAAGUUCUCUGUAAGGCCUUGUUGUUCUUCUCGCUCUGCUUUCUGCAGCCUGGUUAGUUUCCACAGGAGGCUUAUGUUCUUUGAUAGCAAAGUGAAAACCGUCCAUCUCUUCAUAGUCAUUUGGUAUAUUUGAACUUGUGAGCCAGUAGGCACAUGAGCUUCUCAGCAAGAAGAAGCAUUCUCUUUUCUUUUUUUUUCUCUACUCACCAAUAACAGAUAUUAACUUCCUUCUAUUUACAACUUAAAAUGUUAUAGUCUAUCACAUAUUUUCCCUUUAAACAAAAGAGAGAGGAAUUAUAUAUGUAUAGUUUAUCUAUCAUAUGGGUUCUUAAAAGCAUCAGGUAAAAGCAGGUGAUUUGCAGAUAGGGCAAGAGUUCUUCAAAGACAGCCAUUUCUUUAUGCACCCUCCAUGGUAGUCAUGACCACACCCUUUAAGUUCCCCCAACUCUUCUCCUUCCUUGUAUUCCUCCUAAAUGUUACCGUUACCACACCACCAUUAGACUCUUGGCACAUUUAAAUCUUUGAGACAUGCGAAUCUUACCAGGCAGAUUGCACAUUUUCUUUCCUCAUCCGUUUGAUACAAUGGGUAGAAUAUCGUCUCCAACAAGCAAGUGGAGAUUGCGCCCUUGGAUAGACCAGUGUUAACACUCCCAAUCCUUUCAACAAGAUCAAGAAGGUCCUGGAUAGUGUCAACCAUUUCAAGAUACAUCAGUUGCGAGACAUUUUGUCUGGGGCUUAGAAAAACCAAGAGUUCUGUAAUUAACCUCGUAGGUCAUGUCAUCGAUGUCGAGCCUCAAUUCUCUGUGGUGAUCAUGCAUAUUCCUGGAUCCAUAGUGCUGUUGGUGAUCUACAGCCAUAAAUCCCUGUUUUUGUACAUCCACAACAAAAUAAUAGAAGAAAGUUCAGUCUGCAGCAGAAUAAGAAACAUGAGAGUCUAUGUAGGCAAGUUUCUGAAGUGUUGGUCCCAUCAGUUUAUUGGCAAGUUUGGUAGGGAAAAAAAUUACUACACCUGAGAUGAAAAUGGUUCAUGGAGAGCAACUUCAUCGAAAGGAGGCUGAAACCUCUCAUAGGAACUCCUGCGUCUCCCUGGGCGAUCACUGCUACGCCAUGAGAUGUGUGGUGGUGGCCUCAGAUGCCUAGAAGGAUAUGUCUCAGUGACAAAAGGAGACCUAUCUCCAGAAGAAGAUGCUGAAUGUUCCAAUCGCAAACCGUUUGAAGAAGAUCUAUAGGUGGGUGUUGACCUAUGAGAGAAGCGGGAGCUAGUUGCAGAUUGUGUUGAAGUUCCAGGAAAACCGUGGGAAACUGUAGAGUUUCUGUUUCCGAUUAGCCCUUGGUGAUACCAAGAGGUAUCAACAGAUGUGCUGUUGGCGACACUUCUCGUGGGAAGAAAAUUAUUUGUCUUUGGACUAAAGCCAUUUAAAUCUGCAGGGUGAGAAUUCAUGUGGUUAAAGAACGUAGUCAGUAAAAAUUUGAAUCUCAAGAGAGACCAAAGUGAAAUUUGCAUACCUCUAGGUACUGGGGAGUGUCUAGGAAAGUUCCAGUUCCAGUCCUUAUUCCUGUGAGAUGUUUGACCAGGAAACUGACCUGAGCUAGAGUGAUCAACAUUGUGAUGUGUAGGAUGAGAAUCAAGGUCCAAGCUUCUUGAAAAAAUAUUUCUAUCUACACUAGUCUCUAAAUCAAGUGUAGGACGACUCCGGACAUUCCUUGAAGAACUCUCUCCCCUGAUCGAGAGAUUAUUACUUCUGUAACUUGGGUUCAUGAGCCACGGCAUGUAAUGAGGACCAUGAUCACGAGUUGUUGAUUUUCCCAUGUCCAACUCCGAGGAGAAAGGGAUAUCUGAGGAAGUUCUGCCACCGUGGUAAUGGCUUGAACUACCCAUUUCAUAGACGGAAGAAUCGCAUGGGGUUUUCCGCUUCUGUGCUCCUCUCACAUUUUCCAUAUGUAGAUCAACAUAGCCAUCCAAUGACCAUGUCUGACUGUUGCAGUACGAAGAAGAUGCAGAUGUCACAUAAUGUUCAAGUGGAGCAGAGAAAGUUGCAGCUGCUGAACUCAUGACAGGAACAUGGGUGGGGCCGCUAGUCCCUGGAUUGUAGUGUAGCCUCUCUACACCAUGACCUGAAGCAGUAUACGCAUUUGGUCCUGUAGAAGAGUUCCAGUGCGAAGAAAAUGGCAUUCCUUCAUUCAACACGUUUCCUGCUGGAUUAACAUGCGAUCUGCUCUCACUGGUCCCAGUUCUUGCUGAGAUAACAUAGAGCGAACAAUAAUACGAAUCAGAAAUUCCGGACACGAUUGCACAGGAAAAAGUAGAAUUAUGUAUGUGAUGAUUAUAAAAUGUGGCUUCCUAAUUUUCACUACCUGAGGGUAUCACCUAUCAAGAUUCAUUUUUGCCCCUACUGAAACCCAAUCUACCCAUGAGGGAGAAACUUCUCAACCUAAAAAUACGCAUGCAACAUCAACGCAAUAGCUCUUACACAGGUUGAGUAUAACAUCUAUCCAUGAAGAACGUGUUAAAAAUAUUGAUUUCAACCACAGAAUAAGGAUCUCUAUAGGAAUGGAGAACUAAUUACCUAAACUCGUAUAUGGGUGCUCUGGGUGUAUAUGGUUCCAGCCUUGAUCCUGUUCAUCAUCGAAAAAUUGGAAAGAGCCAGGAAAAUGUCUGUGCCCCAUGAUUACACAAAUCUUCAACCUUGGAGUCCAGCUAACCCUGCACAGAAAGUUCUCUCAACAUUCAGAACUCAUCCAGAAAAAAAUUUGCAAGUCCAUAAAAAUAGUUCUUAAUUACUAAGCAAUCUCAGUUUCAAUUCAAGAAUGGUAUAUAAAGUAACAUCUGCUUUAGCUCAGAAGUACCAAAUGGUUGCUGAAAACGAGUCACCCAUCUAUUUUCAGUUUUAUAGUCACAUUUCAAGACCAAAACUCCAAUUUUUGCAACUGAAGAACCUUAACCAUCGCCAAGUUAAGAAACAAAGUUUCUUCAACCCCACACAUGAGCAUACUCAAGCUGUAAGAAACGAUUUAGAAUAUGCAUAGAGAACACUACACAGUAUUAGGACGGACAUCAACUUCAGGUAUAAAGGAAACUGACAAUGGUAUAUUGAUAGAGAUUCUUUAUCAGAAGAGAGUCCAUAGUUUCAAUACCUAGUAUCAAUAUAGUUGAAAUAUCUAGUCUCAGUUACCUUUGUCACCCGUAUCUAACAUACUAUACCCUCAGAGCUCAGCUCAUGAUAUCAUAAAAACAAGUUUUCGAAGAGUUGGACUGGAAAGUUCCUGAUGCCUUAAGAUGGGAAUAACCUUAACUAGUACAUAUCUAUCAGCUCAUAAGGGUAUCUUGCAAUCAAGAGUUAAUAAAUAAAACAGAAACCUACAUUUUCUCUUUGUGUAAGCCAAAAGAAAAUAAGAGACACAAAACAAGCAAGAGUGUUCUCUAGUACAUUGGCAUAAGAAGUUCAUUUAAACAAGACAUUUACUCAGGUUUAAGAACUUCAUAAAUUUUACAGAAACAGUCCACCGAGAAUAAGGCAAGAAAGAACAGAUACAGAACAGAUAACAUUUGAUAUGACCAUUUCAGCUUCUAUCAACACAUACAGAACAGAUGCAUACUGCUGGCAUGAUCAAGAAAAUUACAUGGAUGAUUCAACAGCAGGAAAUAAGUUUAAUUUUCUGAGCCAAAACCCUCCAACAAUACUACUGCAGGCAAAUUAAACUCCCAACCAAGAAUACACUAAACUACACAAGUGAAAAAGCCAUCAUCCUUUCCUGAUCAACUGAUUCACCAUUUCCACACACCAAAUGUAAUUUCUUCUCUUCAAGUUCAGAAUCAUAACGGGCUUAGUCCACAGAGUGCUGGCCAGCAAAGGCUUACCACCACAUUCUACUAUUCUGAAGCUUUUACUUAGUCAAAACCUGCCAUCCGGCCCAGCACACCUAGAUCUACUCCAAGAGCUAGUAAGCAGAAAUGGGUUGUGUGAAAGGAUGCUUCUAAGCAAUUUGCUUUAUGCUUCAUAGGAUGGUUGUCAUUUCGCAAGAAAUAUUGAAGUUUUUACCUUAAUUCACACUUCAAGCAUCACUGACUAAUUAACACAUUCAGUUAUGAACGUGGAAUCAAAAGAAGGGUGGUGGAAGAACUGGACCAGACAAACUUCACAAAGCCUUGACUACCAUAAACAUAGUUAUCAGCCAUAAAACGUAAAUGAGUAAAAAACUAACCACGCUAAUAGAGUUUGGUUGACUUAUCUUACUUCAAGUUCACGUUGGUUUCUCAAUCAACCAACAAUCUGCCAAAAUAGAAGGAAAACGGCAGCCACCGAUUCUAUGUAUUACAAAGGCUUAGCAUAAGGCACUAACAUCUGCUGACAAAAGUGUUAGAAUAAUACAUUUUCUCUGCUACAAUUUCAAAUUUUCUAUUAUAUUUUUGAGAAAAAAACCAAAAUAGCACUAAAUCAAGUUUUUGUUCCCAAACUAGCACUCAAGGCCAAAAGUCACAAAAAUAGCACUCAAGAGAUGGGGUUUAGGGUUUAGGGUUUAAAGUUUAAGUUUUAGGGUUUAGAGUUGAGAAGUGAGAUUUUGGAGAUAAGAUUUCAAAUUUUGAAAAAUAAAAAAGUUUAAAUUUUUCAAAAGAUAAAAUGCUAUUUUGGUCAUUUAGUUUUUGAGUGCUAUUUUUGUGAUAUAAACUUAGAAAAGUACUAUUUUGGAGAUUUGCCUUAUAUUUUUUCGAUUUUUUUUUUUUUGAUUAUACAAAGUUUCCCUAAAGGCUUCCUAAGGGACUAAUCUGUGUAGCUGCAACCCGAAUGUGAAAUCCGCAGUGGCCGGGAAUCGAACCCAGGUGGCGGUACUCACAGCUGUGAGCCUCUGUGAGCUAAACGCCCCGGUUUAUUUUUUCGAUAUUACUAAAGAGGAAGACGUAUUUGCUGACCUUAAACUAUAUGGACGUUACUAGUUCAAGACUGAGAGAAACCAUCGUUGCCACUAAACCUGCUGGAUACAAAGCCUAGCUAGUUUGAUGCUAAAUAGGAAACUGCUCAAACUAGCUCUAUAUAGCUUAGCCCCGUCGCUGAAGUAGCCUGAACUAAUCACCGAUCUGGUCUCCUCUUCUUCUCAGCAUCCGAAUCUCUAACUACGAUUCAAACAAUCCAAUCACGAAAAGUCACUCAUGUAGCAGACGGAAGCAAACAAUCAUCACGCAAAAGGAAAACAGAUGAUCCGUCGUAACAGCGUUUAAACAAAUCAUUGGUGAAACUGCAAUCGAUUUGAGCAUAUAUAUACAUAUUUACACGAAAACCUCAGAGCUCAAACGAUGAUCGGAGAAGAGAGAAACGUACCGCUAGCAGCGUGCGGAUGAUGGAGAAAGGAGAACGAUCGGAGGAUUCAAAGAGACGACGAACGGAUUCGUAGAGAUGACUCAGCUUGAGGAUUGUGAUCGGUUGAUAUAUUUAAGAGAGAAAGCAAAUGAAAAAAUGAUAAAACAAAACAAUUUAAUUUAAAAGCGAUUGGGUGGGUACGUUGCUGGAAAAUUUAGACCACCACAGCAUCACCGGCUGAUUAAUGGGCGUAGAUUAAUGGGCCUAUAUUUUGACUUUAUAUGGGCCUCCACUGGAUCAGCAACUAUCCCUUCUUCUUUUUUUGUCACCAGCAACUAUAGCAUUGUUCACAUAGUGCAUUAUGUUGCAUCUGACAGAUUAUGAGCAUAUAAUCCUUGAAUCUGCUUUGUAGAAAGCUCUUAGAAAUUUAAUUUUUCCAUUGUCUUUGCACGUGCUGUGAAAUUUUGUGUUAAUUACGCAUAAAGUUUGAUUCGUUAGAUUUAGUCCAAAGUAAACAAUAUGGAUACAUAGUCCACAAUCCCCCUAAAAUGGUUAUUUCUCAGAUUUUGACAGUCUUAAUUUGAAGACAAUUUGGAAGAUGAAGUUGCAGUGAAACACGCAAGCAUUGCAUUGCUUUUUUCUCUUUCUAAAACCAAUGGAAGUACAAGGAAGUGGAGGUGAAUCAAUAACAAUAAACCGUGUGCAUUGCCGAGAUUAUAUAGUUUGUGAUUAUACCAUUUUAAUACAGAGAAGCUGCAAAUACCAAAUUAAACCAACGCAGGUUUGAGGUUCCUACGUCAAGUUCAACCAUUUCAUUUCUAGUGUAAUUUCUCUAUUCAAAACAACUAUAGAAAGGUCCACUAGACAUGGCAGACGAAACAAUACCCCAAUAACAUUGUGGCAUUACGAAAGUAGCAAAGCAAAGCAUAAGAUAAAAUAAAAGCGGCAUUAUAACAAACCAAAACAGACUUGUUCUUGUUCUUAACCGAAACAUAAAAGCUAAAACCUCAAAAGUGAAAAUAACCGAACAAAACACUUAAUCUCAAAUUCCCUUUUUUUUUUAAAUUAAUUAAUUCUCAGGAAUCUCAACCUCACCCUCUUGAAUCUCCUGCUGGAUAUCCUUGGAAUCUCCUGCUGAAUAUCCUUGGGAUCUUUCCCAUCCACAGUACACCCAACAGACACACACGUCCCAAGAAUCUCCCUCACGGUCCCGCUCAGCUCCUUCGCAAUAGACCUCGGCCUCAUGAUCCUCGCGAUCUCAAUCACGUCAUCGAACGAAAUGUUCCCGUUGUGCUUAAUGUUCUUCACCUUCUUCCUGUCCCUCUCCGGCUCCUUCAAGGCCUUGAUCACCAGCGCCGCCGCCGAAGGCACCACCGUCACUUUCGCCUGGCGAUUCUGCACCGUCAGCUUCACCGUGACGCGGAGCCCCUUCCACUCCUUGGCCGUCUCCUUGGCGAUGUCUUCUCCGAUCUUUUUGGGAGCCAGACCGAGGGGACCGAUCUUGGGAGCGAGGGAACUCGCGGCUCCGACUUCUCCGCCGGUCACGCGGACGUAGACGUCCACGAUCUGGCUCGGGUCAAGCUUCGGCGGCAUGGCUGUCUCGGUGGUUAAACGGAGUUUGAUUAGUUUUUUUUUUAAGUGGAGUCCGGAGACGAGGAGGCGGUUGAAGACGAGCUCCAAAGGCUUUUAUUGAGGUCGACACUAGGGUUUACGAAAUGAUGAAUUUACUACCCUUGUAAACAUAUAUGGGCCUUAAGAGAAUGAUCUUAUGGGCUUUAUUUUAGACUAUCGGUUCUUUUACGGUUUAGUAAAUAAUAAAUCCCCGGUUUGAUAGAACCGGUUUACUUCCGUCGCCUCUUUGCUCGGUGAGAAUUGCCUAAAAUAUUUCCUCAGUUUCGGAAAGAAGUAUAUUUUAGUUACCAAUAUAAUUUUAAUAAAUAAAAUUAUGUUUUUUUACUGUUUACGAUUAAUUUAUGCAUUGAAACCGUAAAAAUGUAUUUUUCUUGAAACGGAAUUUUUUUCUAAAAUAUGGAAUUUUUUGAAACGCAUGGCUUUUAUUAUACUAAAAUAGUGAAAGUGACGUCACUUCGUUUAACCGAUAUGAUCAACAACAGAAGCAUAUAGUUUUGACAAUAUACUGGGAAACAUUUACUUUUUGGAACUUUCUGUUAUCUUAUGUGUGUUAUUUAAUUAGUGGGUGGCUAAGGACCAGAAGUUGAGAAAGAAGGAAGGGAACACAGCAAGCCAGCUGAUGAAUGCCAUUGCUGUGGCGGUCUGGAACCUUGUGCAGUGGCUGCCAUCACAUUUAUCAAGAUCGUUGAUGAGUACGGUUAUGCCAGCAGACGCAGAUGCAGCUGCAAACGUAAGUAGGCAUGUGAUCUGCAAGGGAUGAAAAUAGACAAAACAGUCACUUUGUUGCCUUCUUAGAAACUAACUUUAAACAAUAAAGAGAGAUGUUGAUUUCGUUCUUACUCCAUCUCCAACUGUGAAACAUCGAACAACCAAGUGAUUCCGAAGGCUUCUUCCCACCAGAAGAGCAUAAGCAUCGAUGAUAAAAAGAGACAAGCUCCACAGGCUUUGCAAGCUAACCGCAAAAACCAAACCACUGUCACAGUUUAUAGAUAUGUUUUGUCAGAUUCAUAUUUUUCCGUAAACCUUAGGUCUAAGAGUUGGAUUUUACUAGAAUGCGGUGAAGGAGUGGAAGUCGGGGGUGGUGAGCAUGACGGAGAGGGAGAUGAGAGAGGAGACGAACUGAGAGAGGCGGAGGAUGAGGCCGCCGGUGGUUCCUGGCAUGCCCUGAAUAUCUUUCAUCCUCACUGGCGGUCUAUCGUUGGCUCCGCCAGUAGGACCCACGGGGACAGCAAUUACCGGACGAACCGCCGGUCGGCUCACGUUCAUCAUGUGAAAGUGAGUCACUCUGAUAACACACACACAAAUGAGGAACUAACUCGACUGAGUUUGCUAAACUAAUUUCCUAAAGACAAAGACUUAUUCAACUAACUGAAUCUCUAACACAUGUAGGACUUUCGAACGUUUACCGCAAAAGUUCAAACAGACCCACCUUGUAAGACACGAAACUGCUACUUUGGCUGUCUGAAAAAUGGAAUUAGUGUGGAUUUUUUUUUUGGUCCACGAGUUAAUUAGUUAAUGUGAUGUGUUUUGACAGAAUCGACCCAAAACAUAGUAUUUAAUGUUCCUAACUUUUGAUAUCUAUUGACUUAGAGUAACCGACUUUGAAAGUUAGUAUAAAACAACUGUAGAAACUUUUAAUGUGGCUUACUAGAUUUUUGGUGCUAUUCUAAAGUAUUUAUGUUUUUAUAUUAUUUAUUUCAAAUAUGUUAGACAUAAUAUUAUAACUUAUUAGUACUAUUUUCGACAGUUUAUGUUAUUACUUUUGAAACAGAUUAUAUUUAAAUUAGUAGUAUAUAUUAAGCUAGAAAAACACUCGAAAUUUAUUUGAACACUUAAAAUAAAACUAUAUUUUUUGUUUCUUAUUCUUUUCCUGUGUUUAUUUGUGUUGUAGUAUUGAUAAUUGACUAAAUAAAUACAAACAAGAAAAUGUGAAACUUUUGUUGGUUACAGAACAGAGUUGAUGAUCUUACAGAGAAUUAAAGACAUUUAGUUUGGGGUUAAAAAGACAGUUCUAAUCAUUUACAACAAAGAACUUCCACCGAACUGGAAAUUGUUUUUACUUUACCCCAACUAAUCGGGAUCUAUUCCUUCCAUUUUUAGUAAGAUUAAUAAAAUCGUGAAAAUCUGACAUUUUCAUAUCUAUAUAUAAAAUCUUUAAAUAGUUAUCUAGAUAUAUUUAAAGUUAUCUAGAUUUUUUUUUUUUGAAAAAGUUAUCUAGAUAUAUUAGAUCUUGAUAAUAAUCAUUCUCCAGCCCUUUCCAUCUCCCAGCAGAGCUUAGACGCAACACUUUCAUGGGAAGGUGCAUAUUCCUGCAAAAUGACAACAACAACGUUUGAGAUUAUGUAGAGACCCAGAAACAAUUCAUUUUCUUCAAUUUACCUCAAGCUUCUUCACAAGCUCUUUAGCAGUAGGUUCAGAGACUAUGAUCUCACGAGCAGUCGGGCUGAUGAAUCCUUCUUCAACGGCUUUAUCGAUGAAUGAAAGCAGCGAGUUGUAGUAUCCAUCAACGUUGAGUAAACCCACCUGCAGAAAGUUUGUUUUAGUGAUUUUGGAUUCUUGAAUUUUUCCAUUUGAAGUAAGAAUAUUAGGGAGGUUUUUUUUUACAGGCUUGUCAUGAAUUCCAAGCUGAGCCCAAGUUAUGACCUCAAGCAAUUCUUCAAGUGUUCCAUAGCCUCCUACAAUUAUCGCACAAAAUUUUAGAUUUGAUUUGUCAAAAGAGAGCAGGUUAAUCUGUUACUAUGAUAUGGUCAAAUCAGUAGGUGUGUCAUGUACAAUACAAAACCAAAUAAUAGAGUCCUCUCCUCUCUGUUACUGUUUUGUACAUUGGUACUGACUAUGAUUACAAAAGCAGGAUCUUGACUUUCCAUUAAUGAUUUCAGAUUAAGUGUGGGCCAAAAAAUGCCAUUUGUGGGACUGUUUCAAGUUUUGUCUCUUAACUUGAAAAGGGCAAAGAAAAAAAGUUUGGUCAGAGUAAGACUACACAAGCUAUAGAGAGAGUACCCCCUAAGUUAAAAACAAAGCAGAGCAAUAACCAGAGUAAAAGAAAAGGAAAAAGGUAUAAUUCUAAGUGCCAGAUGUUGAUGGUUAAGGCCUUUUAUCUUACACUCUGGUGACUUUAAAUAUUUAGAUUUUUUUCAUUUCAAAGAAUAAUUAAAAAUAAAAAACUUUUCACAGCAGCUUUCACACUGCAGCUUGACCAAAACAUAAUGUUUUUUUUUGUGUAACUAAGAAAUCAUGUUUUUACCAAACUCUUUUCUUCUCUUUUUUUACAAAAUCAGUCCAGAAAAACAAACUUUUUCCUUUACAUGAACAAACCCUACUUUGAAACUUUGAUUACCCAUUCAAAUUGUUUUAAGAGGCUAUUCUUAAAAUUCUUUGCGUCACUAGGGUUUUGACAAGUUUUCGUAUGUUAUCAUUACUUACAUUGAAAGAACAGCAAAAUUUUGAGGUUUAGAAAUGUUUUUUGAGAAAGAAAACAUUUGAUUGAAAAUUUGGGUGGAUUGGGUUUAAAACAAAACCUGGUAAGGCAAUAAAAGCAUCAGAGUGCUUGGCCAUUUCAGCUUUCCUUUGGUGCAUAUCUGCAACUGCUCUUACUUCUCCUACUGUUUCACCAGUCAACUGCAAAAAACAAUGAUCAUCCACCAUUUUAAAAUAAAUAAAAGGAUGUUAAUUAAAAGUAGUUAAAGGGCAAAAGCAACUUUGGGCUCUUCUACAGGCAAACGCAAUGAUGUCACCGCAAGUAGUCGUAAUGUUUGGAUGUUUUUGAAAUCUCCUACAGAACCCUAACAUCUAGUUAACCUCUUUCUAAUCAUUUUCUUCAUAUAUCUUUUAUUCAGAUUACGGUAACCAAAUGAGGAUAUUUAUAUUUUAGGACACCUAAACUACUCGCAAUCAUGAGAUUUAAGAAAAGGUAACAAACAGGGAGAAGAGUAAAACCUAAGCAAACACCGAAGAUUAAAAUGGUUUUGAAUGGGAAUUUGGAGAACUUAAAAGAGAAAUUAAAUUAACAAAGAACAAUGUUUUAUUUUGAAAUUUUCUUCUUUGAAAAGUUCAUACCUCUCUAGGCAUGAGGGUCUUUGGAAUUAUUCUGCAGAGUGACAACAAAAGGACAAAGUUGGGUUUUAUUAGAAAUAUUCAGCAAUAUAAUCCAACACUUGUGUUCCAUCAGAAUCUCAAAAGACAGUUUUCUUUUGUAUGAUCUGAAGCUUACAAAGUUGUCAAAUAGUUUAAAGUUAUUUGACUAAGAAAAAGUUACCCAAUAACAUGACGACCACCAUUAUGAACAGCUUGUGAAACCAAACCCAUCAAGCCUAUGCUCCCACCUCCAUAGACUAGAUCAAUUUUCCUUGAGACCUGCAGAACAAAAAAAAAAACAGAGUUACACUUUUUUUUUUUUUUUUGUCACAAAAACAGAGUUACACAUUAGCCUAAACUUGAUGAUAAGUAGAGCAAAAAUCGUGUAACAAACCAGAACCAGAAUAUUCUGAAGUUAUACCAUCUGGCACGUUUCAAAGAAGAAAUAAAUGAAGCAAAGAUGCACAUCAUCUUAUCUCAAAACCAACCAGCAUAAUCAAAGACAUAAAUACGUUAAAAGUCAUGUAUGUGUUACCAGUUCGUUGCCGAGAUCUACAGCAGCAUCUUGGUAACUACUCUUCUUGCCUUGGCUGCUUCCACAGAAGACACAUAUUCUUUUGAACUUUGACUUUUGCAUCGUUUCAGCUUUGAUCUCCAUUGAAUAUGAUCCUAAACUUAUGAUAAAAUAUAAAACUUCUCCAGAAAGAGAAAAGGUAAACAAUUUUAAGGUUUCUUUCAGCACAAGAAUCUAAUUUCGCAAGACAGUUAUGAGUGACAAAGAAACCUAACUAAAUCUGAAAAAAUAAUUUAUUUUGGGAGUUGUUUUUAUCCUCACCACUAAUGUUUCCUGGCUCAAGGGUUGUUGUUAUAUAUAUAGUGCGUCAUCGAUUUAAGCUUACUUAUUUUAAAUUACAUUCUUUUUGAUGUUUACUAAAGCUAGCAGCCUAGCACAACAUUUAAUAAUACAAAUUUAGAAAAAAAAAUAGAAGGCUUUCGUUAAAAAGUUUAUUUUUUUGUUUGUUUGAAUACUUCAUUUCUGUUUUAUUCCCCAUAAAAAAAAUAUUUUUGACCAAAAUCUUAUAAAUCGUUGAUUUGAAUAUUUAAUAAAAAUCGAUAUUUUUUAGAUUUAUGUUGAGGUCUUUACACGGGAGAAAUUAAAGCACGCGUCUUUCACUACCCGCGCGGCACGCGUGACCGAAUUCUUCUUUGUGUUAAUUUUCCCUUACUAUAAAAUCACGUACAACAAUGAUAGACUAGUACCAUAAACCUUAUUUAUGGUCGUAAAUAACAAUUUUUUUUGUUACUUGAGAGGAAUUUGGAUCAAACCGUAAUCUCCGCUUAAACCUGAAACCAUGUGUCCAUGCAUUGAUAAUAGUUUAUGACAUGGCGUAGAACAUUUCUUUCCAUAUAAAUGACAAUUCUUCGUAAUGGACUUUAUGGUUAGACUCACAAUCACCCAACUAGAUAGAAAUGCCAUGUUAAUGCAGGCUAUAUCUCACAAGGAAUUAUUAUCAGUUGUGUUCUUUGUUGUUAAAGAUCAUAUAUAUCGUGUUUAGACUUCAUAACCCCCUCUUAUGAUUUCGUAAAGAAAGCUCUCAGUGAUUAAAAAAAAACUGAUUCAGUAAAGCUUCGUCAUUUUUCGUUCUUAAUCAAGAAUAGGAAAAAUAAUUAAUUUUCUAUAUAAAAAUAAGAAAAAUGGACAGCAUAUGUGGACAGUGUAAGAUGGGUACAAACGUUAUUAACUGAUACUCUUGAAAAACAAAUAGAGAAAGGGAAAAUAAAUAACCAAAAAUAACCAAGACAAAGGCCACACUAAUAUUCUAAUGGAACCAUGUAGAUGUCAUGGAUAAACCAAUGAGAUAUAUACACACUCACUUAUCUAAAGAGAUAUAUAGAAUGAAUAAGUUAAUGAGAUGAUGAUGUCUGGGAUAUGGAGCAAUGUGCCAUUGAUGAUUGACAUAAGAAAACAAAGUGAUGGCUUAUGUUACCAGUGUAGCCUAAUUCACCCUCCCUAUGUAGACAACCUUCUUCUUGUUCUUUGCAUAGAAAACGUUUCUUCUAUUUUUAUUCCCCUAUAUUCAUUUUCACCAUCCUAAGCUAUAGUAUGGAGUUGUGAUAUAAAAUUCUUUUAAUUUUUUUAGACUAUUAUUUUUGUCUUUCUCUUUCAGAAUAAAGUAAUCAUUAAAUCAUCGUUGAAUUAUUUAAAGUUAUGAAUUCAGAAACAUAUGCAAAUUAUCGCCUUGUGAAAGAAUGAAAAAUAAAAUUUCUUGUUACACUUCCCAUUUCAGGAGAACCUUUUAUAUAAUCUUGAUUUAUUGAAAAAUCAAAAAUUUAAAACCGAAAGCUGAGAGCUAAAACUAAUAAGAAAAAAAAAACACUAGUUUCGUUAAGACUCUAUCGUAACCCUAUUGACAUGUUGGCUUGGAAUACCAGGAACCUCCCCAACACUCUUAUACUUAACUGUAAGCAAACACUUACAAUAUACUUCAGAUCAUAUAUAUUUGUUUAUAACAUGUGUAUAUAGCGUAUGAGUAUUUAAAUAAGAAAAUAAAAUAAUUACAAUCCCAAGAUCUGAGUAGAUGCAACCCAUUCCUUCUAUAAACAAAUAAGUAAGUUUGUAAAAUAGUUUGUAUUAGUAUAUCUGCAUGCUUGCAUGCGCAUUUUUCUCUUGUUUUUCUUUUUCAUCUCUAGUUUCACUUCACAUUCUUCUUGGGUUUUUCACUUCCGACCCAAUUUUUAUUUUAUUAUAAUAACCAUGACGAUGGUAGUGAUACCACAAUUUAAUCAGAUAAUACUUUCAUGCAGUCCAAUUUGAAAGUGUUAAAUAUUUGAAAAUGAGCACAAGAGGUUUUAUAACUCGAAUCUUUUUAUAGUCUGUACAGAAAAAAAAAACAAAAAGACAAUUUUAAAGGUGGACGUUUGAAGAACAAAUUAUCCUUUUUACAAAAGGUUAAUAUCUGUCUCCAAUCGAUUUUGACAUGAUUUCAAAGACAUAUAGUGACAUAGCAUUAACGAACAUCUAACGGAAUCCUAAAUCACUUUAACUAAAAGAAGUUCAUAAAGAAAGAAAAAGUAUUAAGUUAGUCAUACAACUAGUUCAUUCUGUUCAUAAAGGGGUUCUAAGUAUUUAUAAAUAUCAAUUUUUCUUGGAGUGGUUCUCAACCUUUUCAAACAGGUCAACAUUUUUUACUUCCUUUUAUAAAAGGUUUUUGUUAAAUUAAGAAAAGUUCUUUCGAAAGAUGAAACUUGAAUCCUUUAUAUAUUUACUUAUCAGUUAAAGAAGUUCAUUCAUAUUAGACCCAAUACAAUUUUGUUCAUAAAGGGGUUCUAAUUAAGUAUUUAUAAUUAUCAAUUUCUAUGCAGACAUAGGAAAGGCUCCGCGCUUUCUAAUAAAUAUAUAUAUGGGUUAUUAUAUAUCCAUGCCUGACAAAAAGAAAAUGCUUAAUUUGAUUUAAUUUAAGAUUAAGGAGAUGAAGAUGAAAAAAUUAUUAACCCAUAUUAUUUUUUCAUUUAAGCUCUGGCUGUAAAAAAGCUGAACAACUUUUACCAUAUUAUUUUUUUCCGAAGUAUAUUAAAAAGAAGACAAUAUAUUUAUUCACUGUUUUAGGUUUUGUUCCAAGCUAUCACCACUAUUUUGUCAGUAGUACCAUAGAUUCAUGAUUAAAAAUGACUCAAAACCUUUCUUAAUAAAUAAAUUUUAAACCUUAAAUGAAAAACUUAAGCCAAACAUAGUAUCUCAAUAUUGUCUAUAAUUUCUUAAAAUAAAGGAUAAUAUCCUCACACAGUUUUUUGUAGUAGUGUUAAAAAGAACAGUAAUAGUAUAUUCGGAAUAAAAACCUUUUAAAUAUAGCAUCUACGGUAUUUUUUUAGCUUUUAUGAACUAUUUUAAUGAUUUAUUCUUGUUUUUGUUGUUGGUAAACAAAUAUUUUGAGAUGAUUUGUGUAUUGGAUGCAAACGGCAUAUUUAAAUUAAGGAAAUGCUAAUUGGGAGGCAGGAUAAAAUUCUUAUUAAUGUCCAUCGAAUUUUUUUUAUUAAAAAUGUUUGAAUAUGUAAUGUGCAUUGGAGUUAACUAUGACAUAUUCUUAUUACGGGUUGGUUUUGUCGUUGAAACAAACAAGAACGUUAUAUUAAGUUCAAAAAACAAACAAGAUGUUAUGGAGUCACACAACACUAUUUCGUACAGAAAUGAUACCUCUAGUUUUUAAAUGUAAUUUUUUUCCUACAAUUUUGACAUCUUUUAAAAGGAUAGUCCACGUAUGAGACUAUGUUAUGAUUGCAUGGGUAAAUACUUUAAUGUACAAGACGUGAAACUUAAUGCAAAACUAUCAAUAAAGGUCGAUAUGAUUCUUUAAACCAAAAAAAGUUCGAUAUGAUUCCGACAAUAUUUUAGAUUUAUGACUUUGAAACCCAAAAGGAACAGACAUUUACCACUUUGAACCGAAAAUAGAACCCCCAAACUUGUUUUUUUCCUCAACGGACCAACGUUAAAUCCACAAAUUAAGGAAUUGAAGAAAAGAGGAGACAAAAAAACAAGAAAGGAAAAGGGAAGAACAUGGAUUUGUAAAUGGUGAAAAGAGGGACAGUCAAAGGUCAGAGAGGGACAAAUCAUUUGUUUAGUAGUUAUCAUAAAGUGUCGGACAGUUAAUACCGUUACUUACGAGUCAAAUGUCUCUAUUACGUUUUCACUUAUCACUAGUUAGUGGUAACUUACUUAAAUUACUUUUUCAAAAAAAAAAAAACUUACUUAAAUUACCCUCCCAUCAAUCGAUUUAUAUUUUCAAAAUUUCUGUAUUGUGAAAAAGCCAUGCAUUGUUGACGCAAUUUUUUGUUGUUGUUACUUGUCAACUAUUGAUACGUACUACUAACCAUGUUAUGUAUACAAUGCAUCUUUACAUAAACCUCUUUCAGUAGACUAAAUUCACAUUCAAAUCUUUUGAGUUAAACAUGUUUAAAUUGGAAAAUAUUGAGAAAUAAUAACAAUAAAUAUUUAUUGCCCUUUUCAAAAAUAAAAAUAAAGAUUUAUGGUUUUUAGUAAUUACUUGAACUAAAUUUGUUAAAACUUACAUAUACUUACUACUUAGGCAGAUAAAUGACAACUUUUAAAACAGUUAAAGGACAACUUUACGUAUACAGCAUGUAUGUAAGGAGUUUAUGAAGACAAAAGGAGGAAAGAAUCUAACUUAUAGCAAGAAGAGUGGUGAACGUAAGAUGGAGAGAGUGAACAGUCAAAAUACAUUCAUUCAUUCCUUUGUUUUUUUUUCUCUUUUAGAAAUUAAAAUUUAUGUCGUUUGUUUUUGGGACAUUACCUACGUUCAUUUCAACUCUUUCAACCUUUCGGUCAUCUCUAUACGAAUAUACCCCCAUUUGUUUUACAUUUUUAUUUUCUUUUAAAAUUUAUGAAGUUACAUUGGCGCCUACAAUUCAAAAGAUUUAGUUUGACUGGUUUACACCAUGUGAAUCCCAUAGGAUAAAUUAUAAAUAAUUCAUAUGGUUUCUGACGUAUGCGUUAUACAUACCUAUAUUGCAUGUUAAAUAAUGCCCUUUUCUGAGAUGGUGAAUAGAUAGAUAUGUCGAAUUUUUAGUAUAUGAAGUUGAAAUUAUAAGAAAUAUCCUAAAAGUAUUUGCAUCGACAUUCAUUUGCUAAGGAAAAAGGUUAAAAAUGUCUUCAAAAAAGGGUAAUGGACGUUUAAUAUAGGAUUAAGUAGCAAAGGAGCAAACAUGGAACAUGUUCAUCUCCUAUGAAUGAGGUGAAUAAGUCAAAAAAAGAAGAAGAAUAAGUCAAAGUAGGUCUAGUUGCUGGACCGGUUCUAAGGACAACCGGAUAAAAAUCCAUCUUAAUCCCAAUUUUUUUUAAAACUAAGAACUAUUAUACGUAGACCACAUGGUCCAUAUACUAUCCAUAACUUUUUAGUAAGAUAAACCUGAUAAUGUUUGCCAAAGCUCCUUUAGAUUAAUGUUUGACAAAGUGGUCACUAAUGGUUAUACAUCAUGAAGUCUAAGUUCUGAAUCUUAUAGAAGGCAAAAUUGUGCUGGAGAUUUUUUUUAUAAAAGAUGGAGCAAAAAAUACCAUAAAACGUAGAUCUUAUAAGUCGGUUCAAAGUGAUGCAGUAAAAUGUAAAUUCUUAUAAAAAAUAGAAUCAUCAAUUAUAUAAUCGUUAUAAUAUUUUCAUGGUUUGCAAUAGCAUAGCUAUUCAACGUUAAGAAAAACCAAAUAAUGUUUUUUGGCCAUAAAUUUUCGAUCCGGCUUUGUUGCGCUGUCCACGUACAAAACUAUGGCAUAUAUAAUUCACGAGGUUUGAAAUAGUGUUCCUUUUAUUUGUUUAGUUAGUUCUCAAUAUUUUUCUUUCAAAUGAAUGACAAGAGAAAUCGUAUGAGACGAAUAUGAGAGAUAGGUUAAGAAUCAGGAUGUUUUCGUUCACAGUAUAUAUAAGAAAUUAUUAUAAGAGAUUGUAGCUUAUGGAACAACAUUAAGGGUAUGACUGGUUUCCUCGCUGCCACACGCAUGCGGUUGGUAGCGGUUAUUGGCGUUUUGCAACAAUCACUCAAACCGCUCUAAAUCGUUUCAAACCUCAUAAACUCAAAACUGGCUUCAGCUAGCGUUUGCGGUUACGGGAGGAUAAUUUUUUUCAAAACAAUAUAAACAUAAAAAUAAAAAAUUCAAUAAAAAUUUUAAAUUGGAAUUAUAAAAAUACUAAAAUAUAUCUAUUUUAUAUUUUAAUUAAUAUUAUAAAAUUUAACUUUUAAAAUAUAAUUUUUAUAUUUAUUAUAAUAUUAUAAUUUUUUAUAUUUUUAUAAUUAUAUAAAAUAUAAAUAUUGUUAAUUUAUUAUUUAACUGUUGUUGCAUCUGAUAGUUAAUCAGUCAUAAGUAUCCUGCAAAUGCACCAAUUUCUAACUAUAGAACCAGUCGUACAAAUCUCUUAAAACCGCUAGAACUGUAACCAUCCGCAUCAGCAAACUCCUGCGACCGCAACCGCAACCGAUACAUUUAAACAAGUCAGGCCCUAAGACGAUAACGUUUGUGGGCAGCAUCAUUAGCAAAGAGAACUACGUCUAUUAGCAUUAGAAACAAGUGAUGCUCUUCAUCAUCAUCAUCAUCAUAAACUACUUCCAAAGUGUUAUUACACGUAUGUGGUAUGCCGUAUAUAUAUGCAUAUACAGUUCUUUAUAGUAACCUACAUAUAUAUGUAGGUGUAGCCAUCGCAAUAUCUAGGUGUAUUGUAUAUUAGGGUAUAACAACGAACUUAGUAGAGUAGUAUGAAAUUACCUUAAACUUGGUUUAGUUUGGUUGAAACGCGUAAUUAAUAUCUUAGUAUGAAACUAAGAGUAUACACUUUAAGCAAAUAACUAGAUUUUGAUCCGCGCUUUUAAAGCGCGGAUUUAUUUUUUUAUUUUUUAAUUGACAAAUAUUUAGUAAAUGUCGUAUUUUUAUAUAUUUGUCUUUUAUUUUUAUGAAUGCUUAAAUUAUAUUAAGAAAAUAAAAAAAUAAUAAUUAAGAAUAGUUGAAAAAAAAUUAUUUUAACUUGGACUCAAUGGUCCAAAUGAAAAAAAAAAAGUGAGAAUUGAAUCUGAUUUUUUAAUAGGUCCAAAUGGCCCAAGAGAGAUUUGAUUUGGGCUGGAUCCAAAAAUAAUGAUCCAAUAUAGAUUUGUUAUUAAUAUUACUUAAUUGCCCUUAAUGAAACAUGCAAUGUUAGUGAAGAAAACAUACCCCUAAGGUAAUUAUGACAAUAGGAUCCUGCUUUAAUAAUAUAGAUUGAUUUCUCUUGAACCAACUUGCACUCAAUUUGCUCAUUCAACUGCGUAUUGUAUUUGAUUCAAAUAGAUUGCUGUGAUUUUGGUGUUUUACGUGGUUAUCAAAUGUGUUCAUACUCAUAAGCGCAGAAGAUCAGAAAGCAAUAAACAAGACAGAGAAGAUUGAAUCAAAAUAAAGCGAAGCAGUUAAUGACAGCAUUCAGACAGACAAGAACAUGGUCUUCCUUACAAAUCUUAACUCUAUAUGUUUUUCAAACAAAAGACCAUCCGUGCAUCCAAGGCACAACAACACAUAGCUUAGUACGGUCCACCGAAACUGCCAUCCUCUCACAAAAACUGCUUCAAAGCGCCUGUUACAAUUUCCUUUACUCAGAUAAAUCAGUCUAUGAAGUGGUUAAUGCCCAAAAGACCCAUCUAUAAGAACAAUAGUAUAAGUCAUACCUCUCCAGAGAAUAGGAAGCCAUAGAUUGGUGCUCAAAACUGGCGCCUUGGAGGCCUAGCCUCAGCUUCAGACACUCUAAUCUGCCUCCCGUCCAAAUCCUACAACAGGGUACAAAGUAUAAGCACAUCAAGAAUAGUUUCAUUGAUCAAACUGUCGGAAUAAAAAAGAUACUUACAGCACCAUCCAAUGUUCUGAUGGCAUUCUGAACCUCUUGAGCAGAGUUGUAAGUCACAAACCCAAAACCUUUCGACCUACCACUGUCCCUGUCGUAGAUGACUCUAGCCUCAACAACCUUCCCUUGCUCCCCGAACAAACUCUCGAGCGCCAUGUCGUCAACACCCCACGAGAGGUUACCAACAUAAACACGGUUCCCUGAACCAGCACCACCACCACCACCUCCACCAUAUCCUCCACCAGAGCUUCCAAAGCUGCUUCUAGGUCCUCUUGAGAAGGAGUCUUCCCUCUUCGGUGGAGGAGGACCCGCGUUAACUCUCAACGGUCUACCAUCCAACUCCUGCAAACAAAACCCAAUAAGAACAACAAAACAACACAAAGGUUCCAACUUUUUGUCUUUAGCAACCACAAGUUUUUGUCUUUAGCAACACAAAGGUUCCGACAUAAGGUAGAGAAGUAAGUAUGUUCUUACAUAGCCAUUGAACAACACAAAGGUUCCAACUUUUUGUCUUUAAACGCAUACUUACAUAGCCAUUGAACUGCUGUUCAGCUGUCUCAACUUCAGAAGCUGAAGACAUAGUCACAAACCCAAAACCUCUGCUUCUCCCUGUCACCUUGUCAUAGAUAACCUAAACAAAGACAACAAAACGAACAAUCACUAAAACCAAUCUCAAACAACAACAACAACAACAACAAAAAAGAUUCAAUCUUUAUCUCAUUUCUCGAAAACCCAUAACUCAAUUUUGAGUUUUUGACUCGUUACCUCAACCAUCUCGACGUUUCCGGCGCUCUCGAAGAGCUGAGCGAGCUGAGCGCUGUCGACGUUAAAGGGGAGGUUACCGACGAAGAGCUUGAGGUCAGAAGAGAAGGAUUGCUCCCGCCGCGGGGGAGGAGGAGCGUCGUCGUCAGCGAAGAUGCCGUCUUCUUCGACUGAGAAGUCGUCAGUAACCGCGACGUUACGGACGAAGCGAGAGGAAGCGGCGGAGAUGGAGAGGGAGAGGGAGGCGGAGAGGGAGUGGAGAUUGAAGGAGAGGGAAGGAGGUAGGAGGGAAACGGAGGCGGGUCUGGAGAUGGAGAAAGGAAGGGACUUGGGGGUGAAAGUGGAGAGAGCGAGAGAGGAAGCUGAAGCAGCCAUGGUGAAGAGAUGAGAAGAGAUAAGGUUUGUUUUUAGCUUUAGGGGUUUUUGAGAGUGGAGAUAAGAUGGUGUGUUUCUGAUAUUUAUGGGCCAAAUGGGAAUAAAUAUCUUUGCACAAAAUAUCUCAUUCUGAUUUUUAUUUACAAAUUUUGCCUCAAAACUUUAUUUGAUUGCUAAAUAUUCUGCUGCUAAUAAAAUUUGUCAAAUUUCAAUGAAUUUAUCUUAACGUCAUCUCUGAAAAAAAGUAUGUAUUUAAAAAAAAUAUAGGUUUUCAUAAAUUUGUAGACAAUUUCUUUAGAAAAUCUUAAUUUUCAAAAUAUUUUGUAUUUUUCUCACUUUAGUGGUGUUAGUUAUCUUUUUAUUGGAAGUCUCUACUUACUACUUGUCAUACGCUGAAGUGAGAUGACAGAUGAGAUGAGAUCUAAGCCGUAGAGUUUUGGAUGGACAGUGGAGAUGGCACGUCUCAUGCCAAAACCAAAAGAAAAAAUCUAUAAGAUAGGAUUUUUUAACUAAAAGCCAAUGGAAGUAGCAACUCUCGUUCCAGCACAGAUCUUUAACUCCAAUAAAUUCAGAAAACAAUACAGUUCCUCUAAAGAAAACCAUUGAAUCAUACAAAGGUUGCUCCCUUCAAAACAAGUUAAUAAGAAAUGAUGUAUUUGGAUAACAACAGAAGACUGAAGUUCUUGAACUGCAACACGCUUUUAGGAUCUCUUCAAUUGGAGGGUCAUCUCGAGCUUCUUUGUCCUGAAAUGUUCCAACAAACAAGUUGUUGAGUACGAGAUUGUGAUUAAUUUAUCUCUUUGAUUACAUUGACAUGGUGUAAACACAAGUAUUUGAUCAAAACGUGUUACCUGGUCCAUACUCCCCGGUCCGAUCAAAACAAGAGAAACACCAGAUGCAUCCAUCACAUGCUAAGAAAACCUCAAAUGUAUCACUUAAUGAAAUGACCAAACCAUCAUCAAGAUUUUGACAGUGGGGUGAAUCAUUUUACCUUCUUUUACGACAAGCAAGCUUUAAUACCCAACAUAGUAGUAGUAACCAAACACAUUCACCAAAUCUAAUAAGAAACUUCUCCAAAAAGAUUUAACCACCCAAAAUGACGAGCAAAUGCAACAACAGCCUUCCUAUCCUUCCACAAAAUCAGAAAUCAACAGUCUCUCUCCCUGUUCCAGUUCCUGUGAAGAAGAACCGAUUCAAUCUAGUUUAUAAUCUUUUCAGCUUCUCCAAAACAGAACAGAUUCUAAAACUUACCUGAAGCGCCGGUAAUGGCCGACACUGCCACCACGUUACGCCGGAGAGAAAAAUCUACUGGAGAUGAGAACUGGCCAAAGAACCAAACUUUACUGUCCCGUAAACCCAUGAAUCGUUUUUCAUCUUCUGAUUCAGCGUAACGGGAGUGAUCGUCGACGAAGACGGCGAUGAGAGAGAAACCGCCAUUGUUGUUUUUACUCCGGGAAAGCCGAAAGAAAUAAGAAAAAUCCUAACUUUAACGUUUUAGUUAGAAAAAAAAAAUCAAAUUAAAAAAAAUCAAACUUUAAGUUAUUACACGUUGUAUAGAUGACGUAAGCAUUGUCCGAAACAGAAAAAAGUCAAACGCCACGUAAGCUCAGUAAGAGUAAAAUUUUUUGGAAAAGGUAGAUCUUUUUUAAAAGCGAACUAGAUUUUGAUCCGCACAUCCGUGCGGGUAUUCGUUUAAACUUUUAAAAACAUACAAUAGAUAUUUACAUAAAAUUGUUAUAUUAGCGUUUUAUACCAGCUCAAAUAAGAUAAGCUUUUAGCACAUAUAUAAUUAUUAGUAAUACUAUAAGUAAGUAAUUAUUUGAGGUUUAUUUAUUUUAUGUUAUUCAUGUACAUUAAUAUUUAAAAUUUUAAAAAUAGUUAUUAUAUAUAAUAUAAAUGGACUACUUAGUUUUGGAAAGGAAAAAAAUUGAUAUUUUUUAAUAUUUAUGGAAUGGUAAAAACUAUUUUAUAUUGAUUUUAUAUCAUAUCAUUCGUAUUAAUAUAUAUAUGUACAGUUCACAACAGGUAAAAUUAAUUAAUUUUUAACUUUAAGAAAGAUUUUGUUAAGAUAUAUUAUCAUUUGAAACAAUAAUUAAUAUUUCCAUAUAUAAAAGUAAUUGAUGGUAUAUUUUUAAGGAAGAUUUUGUUAAGUUUAACUAAUAUAGUGCUCUUUUGCGAAAUAGACACUUUUUAUUAAUAAUAUUUUAUACGUACAAUCAUAUAAAUAAUCACAUAUAUUAUAUUUUAAAAUUUAAUGUGAAAUAUAAAAGCUAUAAUUUAAGUUGGUGUUUGAAAUUGGGCUUUGUAUUGCAUUUUUUUUGUAGAGUUUUGGAUGGACAGUGGAGAUGGCACGUCUCAUGCCAAAACCAAAAGAAAAAAUCUAUAAGAUAGGAUUUUUUAACUAAAAGCCAAUGGAAGUAGCAACUCUCGUUCCAGCACAGAUCUUUAACUCCAAUAAAUUCAGAAAACAAUACAGUUCCUCUAAAGAAAACCAUUGAAUCAUACAAAGGUUGCUCCCUUCAAAACAAGUUAAUAAGAAAUGAUGUAUUUGGAUAACAACAGAAGACUGAAGUUCUUGAACUGCAACACGCUUUUAGGAUCUCUUCAAUUGGAGGGUCAUCUCGAGCUUCUUUGUCCUGAAAUGUUCCAACAAACAAGUUGUUGAGUACGAGAUUGUGAUUAAUUUAUCUCUUUGAUUACAUUGACAUGGUGUAAACACAAGUAUUUGAUCAAAACGUGUUACCUGGUCCAUACUCCCCGGUCCGAUCAAAACAAGAGAAACACCAGAUGCAUCCAUCACAUGCUAAGAAAACCUCAAAUGUAUCACUUAAUGAAAUGACCAAACCAUCAUCAAGAUUUUGACAGUGGGGUGAAUCAUUUUACCUUCUUUUACGACAAGCAAGCUUUAAUACCCAACAUAGUAGUAGUAACCAAACACAUUCACCAAAUCUAAUAAGAAACUUCUCCAAAAAGAUUUAACCACCCAAAAUGACGAGCAAAUGCAACAACAGCCUUCCUAUCCUUCCACAAAAUCAGAAAUCAACAGUCUCUCUCCCUGUUCCAGUUCCUGUGAAGAAGAACCGAUUCAAUCUAGUUUAUAAUCUUUUCAGCUUCUCCAAAACAGAACAGAUUCUAAAACUUACCUGAAGCGCCGGUAAUGGCCGACACUGCCACCACGUUACGCCGGAGAGAAAAAUCUACUGGAGAUGAGAACUGGCCAAAGAACCAAACUUUACUGUCCCGUAAACCCAUGAAUCGUUUUUCAUCUUCUGAUUCAGCGUAACGGGAGUGAUCGUCGACGAAGACGGCGAUGAGAGAGAAACCGCCAUUGUUGUUUUUACUCCGGGAAAGCCGAAAGAAAUAAGAAAAAUCCUAACUUUAACGUUUUAGUUAGAAAAAAAAAAUCAAAUUAAAAAAAAUCAAACUUUAAGUUAUUACACGUUGUAUAGAUGACGUAAGCAUUGUCCGAAACAGAAAAAAGUCAAACGCCACGUAAGCUCAGUAAGAGUAAAAUUUUUUGGAAAAGGUAGAUCUUUUUUAAAAGCGAACUAGAUUUUGAUCCGCACAUCCGUGCGGGUAUUCGUUUAAACUUUUAAAAACAUACAAUAGAUAUUUACAUAAAAUUGUUAUAUUAGCGUUUUAUACCAGCUCAAAUAAGAUAAGCUUUUAGCACAUAUAUAAUUAUUAGUAAUACUAUAAGUAAGUAAUUAUUUGAGGUUUAUUUAUUUUAUGUUAUUCAUGUACAUUAAUAUUUAAAAUUUUAAAAAUAGUUAUUAUAUAUAAUAUAAAUGGACUACUUAGUUUUGGAAAGGAAAAAAAUUGAUAUUUUUUAAUAUUUAUGGAAUGGUAAAAACUAUUUUAUAUUGAUUUUAUAUCAUAUCAUUCGUAUUAAUAUAUAUAUGUACAGUUCACAACAGGUAAAAUUAAUUAAUUUUUAACUUUAAGAAAGAUUUUGUUAAGAUAUAUUAUCAUUUGAAACAAUAAUUAAUAUUUCCAUAUAUAAAAGUAAUUGAUGGUAUAUUUUUAAGGAAGAUUUUGUUAAGUUUAACUAAUAUAGUGCUCUUUUGCGAAAUAGACACUUUUUAUUAAUAAUAUUUUAUACGUACAAUCAUAUAAAUAAUCACAUAUAUUAUAUUUUAAAAUUUAAUGUGAAAUAUAAAAGCUAUAAUUUAAGUUGGUGUUUGAAAUUGGGCUUUGUAUUGCAUUUUUUUUUAUAUAUUGAAAAUAUUUUUAUAAUAGUUAUUGGAAAAUAUGUUAGUAAAAAUUAAAUUUUGAAUAUAUGUAUACUUUUAAAUGAAUUUUUGAUAUAAAUCAAUUUUAAAUUAUUAUUUUGAUUUGAAUAUAUAUAUCAAGUAACAUAGACCCAUUAUUUUUUAAUAUAAUAUAAUAGACUUCCAAUUUUUUAGUAGCAUAAGCCUAAUAUGUUUUUUCCUAACUUACUACUAUCUAUGUUUCCAAACAAUACUAUUUUUUUUAACUACUAUCCAUAUUGCCAAACAAUCUCAGUGUGUACUUCAACUUUAAUAAUAUAUAUAUAUAUAGAUGUUCCUUCUUUGCACGUUUAAGGGAUCUCAAGCCGCUUCUCUCUCUCACACAUCUCUGAAAUGGCGAGAGUAUUGCGUGUGGCGAGAUCCUCCUCCUCCCUCUUCAGCUUCGGAAGCAGAUCUUAUUCAGCCGAAGCUAGCCACGUGUCCUCUCCCCCUCCUCCGUUUCUUGGAGCUCGCAGAGACGUUACCAAGGAGAGAAACGUGCAGUGGGUGUUCCUCGGUUGUCCCGGUGUCGGGAAGGGGACUUACGCCAGCAGACUCUCGAGUCUCCUCGGUGUUCCUCACAUCGCCACCGGAGAUCUCGUCCGUGAUGCGCUAGCUUCUUCCGGACCUCUCUCCCGACAGGUUCUUGUUUCACUUUAUGUCCAAAUGAAUCCCAAAACGACGUCGUUUUCUGUUUAAAUCUGCUAAAAGUUCAUGUGUCUACCAACAGAUCUAAUGAACUAGUGUUUGUUUUGUCCUAACGGAUCUGAUCCUUUUUCUAAUAAUAGUCAACGGCUCUCUCCUCUUGCUUGUAUUGAGAUUCUUAUUACUUGAUUGCAGCUAUCAGAGAUUGUAAACCAGGGGAAGCUUGUUUCUGAUGAGAUCAUAGUGAACUUAUUAUCAAAGAGACUUGAAGCUGGUGAAGCCAAGGGCGAAUCAGGUUUCAUUCUUGAUGGCUUUCCUCGUACCAUGAGACAAGCUGUAAGUUAAUUCAUUGACUUCACAUCAUAUUGAGCAAAGUUUUGAAUGAUUAAUCUUUGUGUUUUCAGGAAAUAUUAGGAGAUGUCACUGACAUCGAUCUAGUGGUGAACUUAAAGCUACCUGAGGAGGUUUUGGUUGACAAAUGCUUAGGGAGGAGAACGUGUAAUCAAUGCGGUAAAGGUUUCAAUAUAGCUCACAUCAACUUAAAGGGUGAGAAUGGGAAACCAGGAAUCAGCAUGGAUCCACUUCUCCCUCCACCUCAGUGUAUGUCAAAGCUCAUCACUCGUGCUGAUGAUACUGAGGAGGUUGUGAAAGCUAGGCUCCGUAUUUACAAUGAAACCGUAAGUCCUCUUUCUCUCUCUCUAUUGUUCUUCCCAUUUUAGCGAUGCUUGAUGCUUUGAAUGAUGUGUGCAGAGCCAGCCUCUUGAAGAGUACUACCGUAUCAAGGGAAAGCUGAUGGAGUUUGACUUACCUGGAGGCAUCCCUGAGUCUUGGCCAAGGCUGUUAGAAGCUUUAAGGCUUGAUGAUUACGAGGAGAAGCAAUCUGCCGCGGCGUAGUUCAACUACAACUCCGGUUUAUAAUUCUUUGCAUGUGGAAGACAUGUGCCUAUAUCAGUUUUGUGUUGGAAAAUAAAGAAAACCUUAGAUUGUUUUUUUUUAUUGCCUCAGAUCAGAAUAAUCAUCAUCAUACACACUUUGCAAACUAUAUGAUGUAUCAUGAUUGUUUAUGAGUUUGCUAGUUACAGGAAUGUAUAAACACUUUGGUACACUUUUGAUUAUUUAUUGUUGAAUGUGAUCAAUGAUUGUUUAUGAGUUUGCUAGUUACAUUACAUGAAUGUAUCAAUACUUACACUGCUUGUUACACAUCAGGUUUGAUGUUUGGGCUCUUGUGAUUAGUUUGUUUAUUGUUGAAUGUGUGUGAUAAUAUUGCGGCUGGCCGAGCUGGCUGGUUAAAGAACACAACCAGACAGUAAAGUAAAACAGUCGCAUACAUUAAAGAUUUUGUGGAACGUAUAACCAGCUCCUGUCUGUCCUAGAAUUGGCGGUUCAGGAUAGAACUGUUCCUUACAUACUGGAACUUCCAGUAGAAUUUGAUGCUAAUUGUUGGUCCUAAACUAGUGUGUAUCAGUUGCUAUGUGAUCUCAUAACUGGACCUUAUCUUAUGGUUUGUGCUUGAGGUUUCUGAGAAAUCGCUGGGUUCAUUUGAUUCUUCUGGUUUGACAAUUAGUUUCUUGUUAUGGACACGGUGAAAUCAGACUCAAAUCGGUGGAAUAAGACAGCCUCAAAGAAGGCAGACAUAAUCAUGUUUGCUCUUGAUUCAUCUUCAAUCUCAACAGGACAUUAAAAUCAAUUUGUAGCUUUAUUUUGUUAGUAUAUAGAUUUGAUGAAAUAAACAACCUUUAAAUUAUAAAUAUAAAGAUGAAAAUAUUCUUAAACAUGAAACCGUUUUGAUCAAGAUUCAAAAAAAACUUCAUUAAAAGAUAGGGACAUCUUCUGAAACAUAUCCAAAAAGCUCUAAUGAAAAACAGCAAGAUAAGGUCUUUGAGAUGUAAUGCAAACUCAAGGCCUAGGAAGAUCCUCCUUAACGGUUGGCCUUCGCAACUCUCUCAAUCUCAUCCUUCUUCUUGAUGGCAUAGCUGCAAAAAAACAAGACAAGAUGCUAUUAGUAUUUAGCAACAAACAAACACAAUUUGUGAACCCGCUUUAAGAGACAAGACAAUGUAAAGAUGUUUACCUGUUGGAAGAUCCCUUGGCAGCAUUGAUGAGCUCAUCAGCAAGGCACUCAGCGAUUGUCUUGAUGUUUCUAAACGCAGCUUCACGUGCACCAGUGGUGAGCAAGAAGAUGGCUUGGUUCACACGUCUUAGAGGAGAGAUAUCAACAGCCUGCCUCCUAACCACACCAGCAGAUCCAAUCCUCGUCGCAUCCUCACGUGGACCACUAGCUCACCAAUAAAACACACACAACAUUAGAAAAAAAGGUUUCUAGUAACACGCAAUAAAGAAUGCAACAUUGUUGUCUUACCUGUUGACAAUGGCAUCAAUGAUAACCUGAAUAGGGUUCAAGUCAGUCAAGAGAUGGAUGAUCUCCAUGGCGUGCUUGAUGAUCCUCACAGCCAUCAGCUUCUUUCCGUUGUUCCUUCCGUGCAUCAUGAGAGAGUUCGUGAGCCUCUCAACAAUGGGACACUGAGCCUUCCUGAACCUCUUGACAGAGUAUCUUCCAGCAGUGUGGGGGACAAAGGUCGCGUGCUUAGGAGGCUGAACCCCAAUGUAGUCAACAAGACUAAUGUCUGUGCCCUACCCAUUCACAAAAAAAAAAAACACAAGAUCAACAAAACAAAUACUAAGAACAUAGCCAUUGUUGCCAAUUUAAAUUUUAGAGAUCUAAUAUUCAAAAACAAACCAAACAACACAGAAAGUGUUGGACUUUAAGACAAAGAAACAUCAGGAUCAACCAAGUGUACUGAGACAAUAAAACAUGAAUUGAAAAUUAACAAAAAUAAAAACAAAAAGAGGACAUUUUUUCCGACAUAACUCCAUGAGUUAUAUCUAAUUCAGACAAUGUAACUAUUUUUUUGUAAUAGACCAAUCAUUUCAUUGUAGAAUUAGAUCCUAUAAAGAUUGCAAAUGAGCUAUCGUAAACUUACCGAAACGUCAUCAAAGCUCCAGCGAUUGAAGAGCUUGACCUCGUUGGUAAGCUGCUGCUGAAUCUCAGCGUCAAUCUCAACGGCGGCGGCCAUGGCUGGAAACACCAAACAUACUUACACUGCUUGUUACACAUCAGGUUUGAUGUUUGGGCUCUUGUGAUUAGUUUGUUUAUUGUUGAAUGUGUGUGAUAAUAUUGCGGCUGGCCGAGCUGGCUGGUUAAAGAACACAACCAGACAGUAAAGUAAAACAGUCGCAUACAUUAAAGAUUUUGUGGAACGUAUAACCAGCUCCUGUCUGUCCUAGAAUUGGCGGUUCAGGAUAGAACUGUUCCUUACAUACUGGAACUUCCAGUAGAAUUUGAUGCUAAUUGUUGGUCCUAAACUAGUGUGUAUCAGUUGCUAUGUGAUCUCAUAACUGGACCUUAUCUUAUGGUUUGUGCUUGAGGUUUCUGAGAAAUCGCUGGGUUCAUUUGAUUCUUCUGGUUUGACAAUUAGUUUCUUGUUAUGGACACGGUGAAAUCAGACUCAAAUCGGUGGAAUAAGACAGCCUCAAAGAAGGCAGACAUAAUCAUGUUUGCUCUUGAUUCAUCUUCAAUCUCAACAGGACAUUAAAAUCAAUUUGUAGCUUUAUUUUGUUAGUAUAUAGAUUUGAUGAAAUAAACAACCUUUAAAUUAUAAAUAUAAAGAUGAAAAUAUUCUUAAACAUGAAACCGUUUUGAUCAAGAUUCAAAAAAAACUUCAUUAAAAGAUAGGGACAUCUUCUGAAACAUAUCCAAAAAGCUCUAAUGAAAAACAGCAAGAUAAGGUCUUUGAGAUGUAAUGCAAACUCCUUACAUAGCCAUUGAACUGCUGUUCAGCUGUCUGAACCUCAGAGGCUGAAGACAUAGUCACAAACCCAAAACCUCUGCUUCUCCCUGUCACCUUGUCAUAGAUAACCUAAACAAAGACAACAAAACGAACAAUCACUAAAACCAAUCUCAAACAACAACAACAACAACAACAAAAAAGAUUCAAUCUUUAUCUCAUUUCUCGAAAACCCAUAACUCAAUUUUGAGUUUUUGACUCGUUACCUCAACCAUCUCGACGUUUCCGGCGCUCUCGAAGAGCUGAGCGAGCUGAGCGCUGUCGACGUUAAAGGGGAGGUUACCGACGAAGAGCUUGAGGUCAGAAGAGAAGGAUUGCUCCCGCCGCGGGGGAGGAGGAGCGUCGUCGUCAGCGAAGAUGCCGUCUUCUUCGACUGAGAAGUCGUCAGUAACCGCGACGUUACGGACGAAGCGAGAGGAAGCGGCGGAGAUGGAGAGGGAGAGGGAGGCGGAGAGGGAGUGGAGAUUGAAGGAGAGGGAAGGAGGUAGGAGGGAAACGGAGGCGGGUCUGGAGAUGGAGAAAGGAAGGGACUUGGGG
rnacentral:lncRNA from 1 species